AGCCAGGAGGGUGACAUGGUGGACAUAGUGGAAAUAAGGUUUAGUGUCAAAUGGACCUGGCUCCAAUUCCAGCCAGACUUUGUAACCUUGAGAUAGUUACUUUCUCUUGCCAAGUCUCAUUAUCCCACCAAAAAAAAAUGAGACUAAUAUCUGAGAAUUACAUGGUAAGAGAAACUAUACCAAGUUCCCAGUAUAGCCUCUAGCAUAAUAGGUGGUCAUCUAAUACUGGUUUAUCUUGUCUCCUGCCUUUCCUCUGGUAAAGAGUUGCACCAAGACAAAUGUUUACUAAAUCUAGAUCUGAGUUGGCAAGGGACUACAGAUGAGGAAAGUUCUGGAGAGUUUUGAUGGGAAGAAAAUAGAGAUCACUGAGCAAAAGGAAAAAUGGAAUUUUCAGAAGACCACUCCAUAGGUGGUAGUCAGAGUAGAUACAGAGGCAGGUGACAGCUAGUCGUGAAUCUGCAAGUUCACUGAACAGACUGUGUGAAGGACUAUAUUCCAGGCUAUGUGGUAUACCUGAUCACAUCUGGAUUGGUCUCUCAGCCCUUUGCUCUCAGCUCCACUCUCUGUACGUUCCCUGCUCUGUACACACAAGAAUUGGAUCUCUGGCCAGGGGGCUUCCAUGAAGAAUCAGCCAAUAGGAGGCUAGAAGAUUGAUGGUGGAAGAAGGUAAGCUGAGAAUUUCAUUCUUUCCUCUCCCUGCCCUGGGGCAUCUUGGACAGUGCUAUUUUUUCUGGAAAUUCCAGUUUCAAAAGGCAUCCCAUCCUUUGUGUACCCAGCCCACAGCUCUGUCCAGGAGUCCCAACUCUGGCUUCUCAUGCUACCUUCCCCACCUGUGAUGCACCAGUCUUAGGGUGGAACAACUUCCAGCCAUUGCCAAUCUGUGGGGCACUCACCAUCUCUUUUUUGGCUUCUCAGUUUUAGCUGUGUGCUAAUACUAGGCACUUGUAUUAUAUUCAUAGAAUAUAAUAUAAUAAUAAUAUAGUAUAAUAAUUAUAUAAAUAUAUUUAUAUAUUUAUAUUAUAUAAUAAAUAUAAUAAUUAUAGAAACACCAGAAGUGUUUGUAUUUCCUGAGUAACCCUAAACUGACAUAGCACCUAAAUCAAAACAAAUCUCAGAUUAUUUUUGUGUGAUUACAUAUGACUCUAAAUCUUAGAAAAUACAUAAUUGCAAGCUACAUAAAGAUUGGUCUCCUAGUAAAGAGGAGAGAAAUGUGGAUCAGAAUUCUUCAACAAAAAAAAAAUCAUAUUAUCAUCUCUUAAUACAGGAUAAUUAUGAAUCUGUGAAUAUAACAUGUCACAUUUAAUUCAGCAUUUCCUGGGUGAUCUGGAAAGGUGAAUAACAAAUUCAGAAAUUUAUCCCACAGAUGUAAACUGGGAAGUGUUGCAAAUACCCAAAAGAAUAAGGAAAUACUAAUAAUUUUUUAAAACCCUGGCAGUUAGAGUAUGGACAGGAUAUGAUGAUGAAACUCAUAAAAAUACAUAGUUGAAUCAAAAUAGCAAAAUGAAAUACUGCCUGAAAAAAUGCACAGUUGCAUGGAUAAAAAGAAAUCAUCAGAAACACAGAUACUCCAUGGGUAGGAAAGAAAAUAAGUGAAGAUGACUGAGGAGUGACAGUGCAAACUUAAACAUAAUUUAGAAAUAUGAUGGAAGAAAAGAGCCUGAUUAUUAAGAUCUUUAAGUUUAGAUAGUCAAUGCUGUUGUUUUAAAUUAUGGUGUUUUUUUUUUUCUCUUCUCUCCAACAUCUAAUCAUUCCCUCCAAUUUAUAUAAUAUCGAUUAAUCCAAAAUCAGCAGAGCCUUAUCCAACUUUGUAUACCUCGAUAAUAAAAAUAAAGAAAAUACUAAGAAUGUAAGGAAAUUGAAUCUGAAUGAUAAGGAGCUGGAGAACACAACAGUAAAGGAAGUGAGAAGAGCCAGCUUGGCUGAGCAGCCAUAUUUCUAGCACAGACCCAGAGAAAGUCAAGGCAUAUUGUGUGGGGCAAAUAAAUUCCACAUAGAUGCUAGAUCUCAGUGUUGGCCUACUUAUGGAGUAUCCAGUUCUCAUUUUGAUGGGAAGAAUCCAGGCAAGUAAAAUAAAUUCCUGGAGAUGAAACUGCUCUUUGGGAUAAGCAAAAUUACUUCCUCUUUCUCCAUGAAGCCCCAGAUGGUCAGAAAACAAAACCCCAGUAUGUGAUUUUUGUUUGUUUGUUUGGCUUGAACCUUAAAUAUCACUUCUAUCAGGAUAAUACUAACUUCUAGAGGUUUCUGUGUGUUUCCAUGUGAUCAGGAAGGGUUUUCUUUUGGAAAAACAGGAGUUCAAAAGAAGGACAAGAACGCUUAGCUCUGAACAGAUGAAGUAAAAUAAUUUGCUCCUGUGUAAAUUAUUAGUUGAAAGAAGAAUAAGGAUUAAAGCUAAACACUCAGUGCUCCUGUUAAACAGGGCUGUUAUAAUCUAAGUAUUCAUGAGAAACCAUUUUCAAAUUUAAAAGAGGGAGGGAGAGAAGCAACUAUAGUCAACUGUAAUAUAGCAAGGAUCUGUCACAUGAUCUAAUUACAGAAAUGAAAGCAACCCAGGAAUUAUGUGGUCUAUUCAAGCCUGCAAGGAGUAUGAACAAAGAAUAUAAUUAUACAUCAAGCCUGUUGAUUAAACAAUUACUAUUUAAAGCAGAUAUAGAUUUAAAAUUAAUUUGCUUCUGCGUUCUGAGGAUUUGGGGACUGAGAUAAACAUUAUUUGAAGUUUAAUUAUCUGUGUGUAAGAUGAAGGGGCUCAUUUCAAUUUGGUUAGCUCUGCAGAGCAUUUUGGAUGGUGUGAAAGGAAAAAUCCAACUCCACCACAAGUUUCAGCAUUGCUGAAAUGUGUGAUUAAAAUGAGCGGGAAGACUUGAUCAGCCUAAUCCCCACAGGACGGGUAAUAUCACAGGAGGGAUUGUGCAACUGCAAAUUAAUAUUUAAAUGAACAUUAGUGUGAAGUUUACCUGGAAGGGGAAAAUACUUUAUCUCCAAAAGAAUAGAAGAAAGCCAACCACACAGCUUCAGCUCCAUGGCAGGGAGGACAGGGGAGUGGACACCUUCACGCAGGGCUGAGCAAAUAGAACACCUACCUGCCAGCUACUCUGAAUGGAGUGAUUCUUAUCAGAGGCCACGUGUACAGUGUCCCAGGGCAGAAUUUCAGGGUCGGAGGGUGGGCAGGGUAAAAGGGUAAAUUGUAGUCAGAGUGAAAGAAAAACAAUCUAGAAAAUUCCAGAGUUACAGAAUGAUCGUUGAGAUGCAUGGAAAUAAAGUCUGAUUAGUAUCCACACACUGAGAUCCAAAGGCAUUGGGCAGAAUUUCCAGACCUCAAACCCAACUCAUCAGCUACCAUGAAGGGGCUCAGUGACCUGCCUGUGCUCAUAUACCUCACCUGGCCCCCAGCCCUAGGAGGAAGGUGCUGCAUGGUGUUGAGGUUAAGAGAAUGAACUUUAGAAAGGGAAAACCUUGAAUGAGGUCUCAGCUCUGCCACUUUCCAAUUUGGAAGCAAAGCAUUUGCCUUUGCUCCAGGUCCUCUUCCUAGGUCCUCAAGGAAACAAUAAGGUUCAUUUAUUCAUUAGGUUGUUUAAAAUAUGAAAUAUGAGAAUGGGGACAACUAAGAGUGUUCUUCUUCUACCUAAAACCCUGUGGUGGGUCUUAUUAUUUUGGGGGUAAAGGUGAAUCUCUUUAGUGUAGCCUUCAAGCUUCAGAAGUGUGAUAAUGCCCUCCUCACCCAUCUUCUUUUGCACCCUCCUUCCUAAUACUUUCUCCCUCCAGACACACAAGCUUUAUGUCAGUCCUCUAUUUUCUCUCCUGCUUCAAAAUCCAGGUCACAUGAAGCACUGGAAAGUCCUCAAAGAUCUCCUGCUAUAGUCUGGAUCCAGAAUGUCCCACAAAGACCAAUGUGUUAGAGGCUUGUCCCCAGCUUGGUGCUAUUAGGUGGUAGUGGAACUUUUAAGAAAUGGGACCUCAUGGGAGAUCUUAGGUCAUUGGGGGCAUGCCCUCCAAGGGAAUCUGGGACUCCAGCCCCUUAUUAUCUUUUUCAUUCUGUGCCAGUAAAUGAAUGGCUUUUCUCCUCCAUGUGUUCCCCUCCAAGAUGAUAUUACUUGCAACCGUCCCAAAAGCAACAGGGCCAGCUAACUAUGGACUGAAACCUCCGAACUGUGAACCAAAAUAAACCUUUUCUUUUUUUAAGUUGAUUUUCUCAGGUAUUUGUUACAGUAAUGGAAAACUGACUAACAUACCUCCUUUCCAUAUCACUUACUAAACUUGCAAUUUUAUAUUUGUGUAGUUCUUUUUAACACAGCUAUUUUUCCAUUGGAAUGAAAGCUCCAUAGGAUGCAAUUUUGCCAGUGUUUUAUCCACAUUAUAAAUUUUAUUCCUAUAGACACUCAAAUAUUUGCUAAGGAAUAAAUGAAUGAAAAUGCCAGUGCCUGGCACAUAGUGUGCCUCAGUAAACAAACACUGGUUUUUAAAUAACAACCCACUAAUAAUGCUAAUUGAAAAAUACAAGAAAAAAUUCUGAUUAUUAUUUACUUUCUCCAGUGAUUCUCAAAUGAUUUUUAUUCCGCAGGCAAUGUCUGUGCUACUUGAAUCUAGUGGGUAGCUGGGAGCCUGCUAAACACCCUACAAUGCACAGCACAGUCUUCCUACUAUGCCAAAAGUGCCAUGGUUGAAAGAACUGAAUUUUGUCUUCUGUCAUUUUUCUCUCAUACUGUAAUUCAUCACUUGAGUUAUAGAGGCAAAUCCCACCUGCCAUAGGCAGUUAUUCUUGCCUUCUACCCUGUACAUUUCUGAGAGCACAAGGUCAUUCUUGCCUCUCACUUCUUCCCCACACUCUAUCGGUCUAUCUCAAAACCCUUGGUCCACCCAUCCCUGUUCUGCUUGUGAGACUAAACUUAAGAAAACUAUGUUUUUACCCUUCCCUGUCAUACAUGUUGUUUUAGUCAGCUUUUUUUGCUGCUGUGACUAAAGGACCCAACCUGCACAAUGUUAGAGGAGGAAGAAUUUAUUUGAGGGCUCACAGUUUCAGAGGUCUUAGUCCAUAGAAGGCUGGCUCCUUCCUCAGGGCUGGAGGUAAGGCUGAACAUCAUGGCGGGAGAGAGUGGUGGAGGGAAGAAGCUCACAUCAUGGUGAUCAGGGAGCAGAGAGAGACUCCACUUGCCAGAUACAAAUAUACAUCACAAGCCAGGCCCCAGUUCCCACCUCCUUCAGCCAUACCCUACCACUUCAGUUAAUCCCUAUCAGGGGAUUACAACACUGAAUGAGUUAAGACUCUUACAACCCAAUCGUUUUUACUCUGAACUUCUUGCAUUGUCUUACAUGUCAGCUUUUGGGAGACACCUCACAUCCAAACCAUAACACAUUUGUUCCUAUCUUACAGUAUAAGUUUCAACAAAAGCAAAAUGUGAGCACCAAUACUUGGCUUUCUGGACAAAGCUGUUUCAUAUAUAAGGCUUUAAGACAGUUUAUGUAGCAAAAAAAAAAAAAAGAUAGAGGCUGACAUUUAUUAACUGUCAUGCCCCGAUAAAGACAUUGCUCCAAGACAAAAGAGCACUCACUCUAACAGUAAGUGCUGUGCUCAAAAUUAUCAAAAUAUGAAGUUAUAGAAAUGAAAAAACUGGAAACAAAGAAGCAAAUUAUUCUAGAGUGGUAACUCAGAUAGUGUCAAACACCCGAGAUCACAAAAAUGUAAAACUUCAUAUUUAAUUGAUUUCAUAAAAUGCUGUGUACACAAUGGUUAAAAUUAUGUCAGAUAGAAAUUACAAGUAUUGGCAAGAACAUGGAGAAACUGGAAGCACAAACAGACUGAAACAGCCUAUGGGAUGGUACUACCUUUAAGACUCACAAACAUCAUGCUGAUUCACAGAUUUAGGGCUCUUGGUUUUGAAUAUUCACUUGUUGCCUUAAACCCUUAUGGCUUCUUUCUCAUCCCAAUGUUGUCACAAAACUUUAUCACUGGAGGGCAAUAUGAUUCAGUCACUUUAGAAAUCAUUUUGAUGGUUCAUCAAAGAGUUAAACAUAGGGUUACCAUAUAACCCAGCCAUUCAUCUCCUAGGUUGUAUCCAAACAGUAUGAAAACAAUAAAACAAGAGCCUAUACAUGUAUAUUAAUAGAAACACUAUUCACAAUAUGCAAAUGGUGGAAACUGUCCAAAUGUCCAUCAACAGAUGAACUAUUAAACUAAAUGUGGUAUAUCCAUACAAUGGAAUACUAUUUUAACACACACACACACAAAAAGAAAUGAAAUACUGAUACAGCCUGGAUGAACCGCCAAAUACAGUUUGCUGUGUGAAACAAGAUCACAUAUUGCAUAAUCCCAUUUAGAUGAAUAUCCAGAUAGAAAAAUCCAUAGAAACAGAAUGUACAUUUAUCUUCCAGAUGCUGGAGAAAGAGGAAUGUUCAGAGAAAUGCAGAGAAACUGUUUAAAAUUUAAGAGGUUUUACCCACUAAAUAGUUUGAAGUAAUGUAAAUGUUUUUGGAAACAGAGGUAGUAGUUGCAAAAUGCUGAAUUAUUUAGUCACUGAAUUUUCUCACAUUAAAAAGGUUGUUUUAUGUUAUAUAAAUUUCACCUUGAUUUUUUAAGAUUGUAAUAUCCCUGGGUGUGGUGGUACACACCUGUAAUCCUAGCAACUUGGGAUGCUGGAACAGGAAGACAAAUCACAAGUUCUAAGACCGGCUUGGGCAACUUAGAAAGACCCUGAAUCAAAUUUAAAAAUAAAAAGGGCUGGGGAUAUAACUCAGUGGUAGAGUACCCCUGGGUUCAGUCCUCAGUAAUGCACACACAAAAAGUUAAAAGUAUGCAAAACUGGCCAAUACUGAAAGAGAGAAUGCCUCAAAAUGGAAAGAGAUGUGAAAAUUUCUAGGGGAAUUAUUGGUAAUUUAUUUUUAAAUUUUAUUUUUUAAGUGACACAUUCAUUGUAAACAUUCUAGAGAACACAUAAAAGCACUAAAAAUAGUGUAGAAAUCGUUAUUGGUAUGUCUUGUUUUUCAAAAAGAUUCUUUAAUGUUGAUGUUAAGUUACCUUUGAAAGUACAAGAAAAAGAAAACCAAGAUACUGUGUUUAAGUAAGAUAAAUCCACACAGUCAAACAUGUAUUUCUGCCAAGGCUUUGAAUGAAGGCUUAUUUCUCUCUGUGGCAAAAAUGAAACUGGGAGACUGAGGACUAUGGGAGGAAACAGAUAAACCUUAACUCUGGAGCUAAGGCCUCUCUCUCCCAUUCUUCUAUCCACCCCAUACCAGCAAGGUCUGGGUCUUAUCAGACUGGCCAAGCCUGGUCUCUGGGGGAGAGUUGGGGAGCCAUUCCCCAUUAAAAAGAUGGCAAUUUCCCAUUCCUCUUACCUGCAUAGCCUUUUGAGCACAGCAAGAACUCACAAGUGAUAAUUAAACUAUUGAACUCUAAGAACAAGAUGGGGGUUUAAGAUCCCUGGCUUCAUAAAAAAAAUAAGUCAUUAAUUCCAAAAGAUUUACAAAUUCUGAUAAAACUGUAUGUUUCUCUUCCCAUUCUUCUAAACCUUUUUUUGAGUAUGAACAUAAAUAAAGUGAUAAGAAACAAAAAGAGAAGCAGAAGUGUGGUACAUUGCUCAGUACAGAACAAAUAUAUUACCAGUGACUCCAAACUACCUACCAAGAGCCCAUUCUGUACCCAGCUAUUAUACACUGUGUGUUUGUACCUCCCAGAAUUCAUACAAGAUGAUUUUGGGAGGAGGAGACUUUAGGAAGUAUUAGGUCAUAACGGUGGUGCCUUCAAGAUUAGGAUUAGUGCCCUAUGGAAGAGACCCCAGAAGUUCCUCACCUCUUCCCUCUUAUGAAGACAAAAUGAGAAGAUAGCCAUCCUUUAACCAAUUGCCAAGCAUUGAACUGCAGUAUCAUGAUUUCAGACUUCUCAGCAUCAAGAACUGUGAGAAGUUUCUGUUUUUAUAUUUUGUUAUAACAGCUCAAAUGGACUAAGACACCAAGUAAGACACUAAGACACUAAGUAAGUUAGCAUCACAAAAUUAUUUAGGAGAUACUAUCUUUAAGACUCCAAAAUAAUACUCUGAUUCACAGAUUCGGAGCUUUGGGUUUUGAAUAUUCAUUCUUUGCCUCACCUAUCAAUGACCUCUUUCUCAAUCCACUUUUGUCCACUAAUCUUUUAUGAAUUGCCUCUUCUAUUCUUGCAGCACAACUACACUGAGUGAGACACAUUUUCCUUAUUAAAAAUAAAAACAUAAAAAGAAAAAGAACAGAAGAUGUUAAGGAUAUAAAGAUACUCUAAAGUAAUUCCCUCCCUAAAGAAACUGGUAGAAUCAAAAAAGAAUCAAAAAAUAAAAAAGGUAAAGGAAACAAAAAUAAGUAACUCUCAGAACCAACAUUGUUGGGAACAAAGUCUGGUGGACUCUCUAAAUAUAGAGUUUCCUAUACCUGGGCUCUCUGGCAUAGUAAAGCUAUCUCCAUGGCUAAUGGAAGGCCCUGAUACUUCUCCAUUUUUUCCAGGGAACUUAGCAUUAAUAUUCUCCCUAAGUGUAUUCCUUGAGGAAUCAUGGCCAUAAGCAAUUACAUGGAAGCUGCCUUGCCUCCACUUCUUGCAAUGCAUGAUAUGUAGACACAAACACACACACACACAUACACACACACACACACCAAAAAAAAAAAAACACCACGUCAGGGCCCAACAGAGAAGUACAAUCAAUAGGAGGUAGAGAAGGAAAGACAAACAGUUAGUUAAAUGCAGAGUGUUCCCUCAUUCUGUCUUGUCAAGAACAUACAGACAUGAGAUAUACAUAAAAACCUAAAAUGAAGUGAAUAUUGCUCAUUUUAGACCAAGCAAAACACAGGCUAUAUUUCUUCAGAUUUUAAGGGUUUUCUCUGUUACAGUUUAGAUACUAGGUAUCCCCCAAAAGCUCAUAUGAAAGACAAUGCAAGAAGGCUUAGAGAUGAAAUUGUUAGGUUAUGAGAGCCUUAACCCAAUCAGUGAAUUUAUCCCCUAAUAGGGAUUAACUGAGUGGUAACUGUAGGCUGGGAGGGUGUGGCUGGAGGAGGGACAUCAUUUGAGUCAUGCCUUUGGGGCAUAUAUUUGGUGAUCUGAACUUAGUCUCUCCCUCUCUGCUUCCUGGAGUGAAAGAUGUCUUGAGCUGCUUUCCUCCACCACACCCUUCUACCACGAUGUUCAGCAUCACUGGAAGCCUCGAGGGAUGGGACUAGCUAUUUAUGAUCUGAGACCUCUGAAAUCUUGACCACCAAAUAAAAUUUUCUUUCUCCAAACGUUCUUGUCAAGUCUUUUGGUCACAGCAAUGAGAAAGCUGACAAAAAUGCUGUCUCGGUCCCAAUCCUAAAAACUGUCCUGGUCAAGGCUUUGUAACCCCAUUGCCUAAAAUGGGGUUGAUUUUCUCUAAAACUAGCUGUGAUGUGUGGAUGAUGGUUCUGGAACCUCUAAAGGUACAUUUCCAUAGAAACCAAAGUAAGUGGUCAUGAAAGGUGAAGAGCUCAUACUCCAAGCUCUGAGAAAAGCGAAAAUGCCCUCAUGACAAAUUUAGUAUCAUUGAGCCAGGAUACAGUCCUCCCUGCCAAUAUUACCAAAUCCAAUUCUAGGUGACUUCUGGAACCUAGAUUUAUUUAGAUUGACAUCUAGAAGCUCGCAUGUUCCACACAUCCAACUGUAGGAAAGGGGGAGGUCAAACUCUUGGAUUGUGCUCCACCCUCCUCCUCUACCAGCCUGAAAAUCUUCAUAAUACAAAACAGCUCUGUGAUGCUUAAGAUAGUAAGAUAGCAUCACAAAAUUAGACAAUGGUUGGUAGCAAUUAUCUUUCAAACUUGACAGACUUGGUUUUGUGUUGUUUUAGGGAAUAAAGUGUCUAAUGGCCAUGAAUCAUGAAUACUGCAUUUAGCGUUUUUUGUUGUUGUUGUUGUUGUUGUUGUUGUUUUGUUUUUGUUUUUUGCCAAAUGCAUUGCAACAAAUCUACUCUUCAGCACUGGACUCUGCCAAAUAUUCCAUCUCAAUACCUCGUCCAGCUUCUAGAGAAAUUUCAUCCAAAUCUUUUGUUAAGCCUUUCUCAACACUCUGUGUUUACAAAGUACUCACAAUAAUCUAGUAGCCUAGAGUUGGGUAGCGACCCAAGUCAGCACCUAAAUAAUGGAGUCUUGCCCUCUCACUGUUAGCACUUACUUUGCAGAGAAACAUCCUCAGGGUUCUAUAGAGAUUUACAACUAGUUGCCAAGAUCUUUUUGGAGUCAAAAAUGAAGUGCAUGUCUAGACUUUGAAACUUCCACCCCAGGGCUUGUCCCAUUCGGGCAAUGAGGGGCAGCUGAGUGGGUUGUAAGGUGAGUAGUGACAGAAAUAUCUUCCCUUUUGGUCUGCAAUAGUUGCUGAGUUUUCCAUGAGGGCUGCUCCUUGGGAGUAUUUCUGAUACAAACACUAUGUUGAAGUGUUUUAAGGUGUUACUUAACAGAAGUAACAGUUAGUUAGCUAAUAGAGCAACACAUUCCCCUUUAUCUAUACAAUCUCGUAUCACCCACAAAGUAAAUAGGUCCUGAAACAAGUAGACCCAGAACAGGCAAGUGUGGAUAUGUAGAGUAACAAGGAAGGAGAGGAUGUUCUAAAGAAUGUGGUUGGCCAGGACAGGGAUCUAUGAAACAACAGUAAAGGGAGGUGAUGGGGGGGCGGGGGGGCGGGGAGGAUGAGAGUACUAGACACAGCUGGCUUUGAAAUGGAGGGAAACGAACAAAAGAAAUGAAAACCAGAUUUGGUUGAAUUUACAAAUCGGCCCAGGGCCCAUACUGCUUCCCAGAAGAGGAGAAACCAGUGCAGGGAAGAUGUGACUGAUUUUAGGACAAUGUCUUUCAUACUCUGACCUCAAGGUGCCAUUCUAAGAGAAUGAUAAACUCUCAAAGAACUAUGAGGUUGAGGGUCUCAGGAGCAGGGCAGGAGCAGGAGCAGGGGACAGACGCAGGGAACAGGUAGUUCUCUGGGUUGGCAGGAGUAGAGCGGGCAGAUGCCUUGGGAUUUCUCCAUAUCCCUCUCCUAGAGGGUAAGUGUGGACUGAGCCUCUGUGUGUACUCCCCGAGUUCAUUGUGGUUCUCUGAUCUCCUACAGAGAAAGCAUGUGAGGAAAAACUGGUGACAUAGAGGGCCCUAUGUGGACUGUGUCAUGAGAAAUGUGUCACCAACCUCAGCAUAACCUUGCCAUUUCUCAUCCUCUCUCCCAAUGUCUCCUUCUUGCUCCUUCUAGAAUUUCCCAGCCAAAACUGUUAAGAGAUAUGGUUUAUUUCUCUGAUCAAAUAUAAUUAUUUAAUGAUAAAAGUUUACUUAAACUCUUUUUCAAUUAUAAAAGCAAUGUUGGCAACAGAUUCUUCCCUACAUCCAAACACUUCUCACAUUUUAACUUCACAACUUCCCAUGGUCUUACCCUUACUUCCUGAGAUGCCCACACCUUCACUUCUUACUGCUUUCAGUUCCAUCAGGAUCCAUCCCCAGGAAACAGGAAUGAAUAUUCCUGCCUUUUCUGACAACUUUUUAUCACCAAAGCUUACCUCUUCUAUGGUCCAUUCCCUAGAAACUUUGCCCAGUACUAUCUAUUCUGAUAAAUUAAUACAUGCCAAGGGGGAGGAGUUUCUUAGAGUUUGUUAAGUGAAUCAAAUGAGAGAAAUAAAUAGAUAUAUAGGUAUAUAGGUGAAGCAUGAAUAUUAUUUUUAUCAGUACAUUUAGUUCUCACAGGUAAUAAACAGAUGUUUUAGGAGGGACCCUAUGAAUGUUAAUCAAAAUGAGUGGCUCUGUUCUGAGGAACUUUACCUAUCAGGGCAGGUUGGCAUGGAAAAGAGGAAGAGGGUGUGAGGUAUGAGCCUGCUGCUUUUGGAUCUCCUCCACCCACGUUUUAUAAGCCCACUCUUUUUGUGGCUACUGCCCAUCCCAAGGCCAAACCACAUUUUGCUUCAUUCAAUUGAACCUUCACAGAAAGAAAAAAAUAAAAACCUACUUUGAUCUAUUGUUAAUAAAAUAAACUGUUUGAAAGAUACAAGAACAGUAAUGAACAGUUAGUUCCCAAUUAUGGAAAACAGCAGUCCUCGGGGCCAAAUAUCUUACAGAAAUCUUCUGCAUUCGGCAAAGAACCAUUAUUUAGGGACUCACAGAAAGGAGAAAAAUUGCUUGCAUUUCCAGGAGUUAGCUCUAUCAAUUUCCAGCUCUGUGUUGUGGGAUAAGUUGUUUAGCUUCCUGGAGCCUCGUGUGCUUUAUCUAUAAAAUGGGGAUAAACAUACCUCUGUCCCCAGAUGGUCAAGAUUCAGUUGAAUUGUGACCUAUAAGCAAUGUAACUCCAGAUUAGCUAGAUAGUAAACAAAUGAAAACAGCAACAACCACAGAAGUUAUUCCCAGACAUUUUGAGAGUGAAAAUAUUUGGCCUACAAAAGAUACUUGAAGGUAACUGUAGUAUACAUAUUAUUAAAAUGACUUGGACAUGGUUUACAUUUGAGAAUUACACAUUGUCCUUUGAGACAGCUGGCAAAACCCUGAAGUGUCUCAACCUCAGGGACAGGAAUUUCUGCCCUCGAGGUAGACAUUACCUGUCUCUGGCAGCUGCUGAAGACAGAUUGAGGGCCUGGCAACCCCUGCAGCAGGCACCCAAUCCCUGUCCUUUUCUUCACCUCUAUCUCUUCCACCCACCCACGCUCUCCCCUCCUGGCUGUGAGAGCCUGGAAGAGUCUGUCUAAUCUGAACUUGGAGAGCAGUGCUCUUUUGCCUUUAAAAUGCUUGCCCAGCUUAAUCAGUAACCAGCAGCCCUCUACUGCCAGUUACUCUCCUGCCCUGACAUGAGCCUCCUCUCCUGCCAGCCUGCAGAUGUGACUUUUUUAGGAAGAGUCAAUUCCCAGCCUUCACCCUUCCUGCCAAUGACAGCCUCCCUCUUUGAAGGUUACCUGUCACUGGUAUUCUUGCACAUGAAUGCAAAGUAAAGUGGGUGCUUGUCCUGACCUUGAGAAGCACGUCAGUGUGCAUAUAAGUUCUGAAACAGAGCACUUGACAUUUGCUGUCUUAUUUGUGUCAGGACUAAGAAGAGGAAGCCUCGUGUGGAGGGAUACUCUCUUAGGUCUGGGGAUGUGGCUUGUGAAUGGCACUUGUCAACUAAACCUUGCAGUGAUAUUCAGCAGGCAUGAUGGGGAGGAAAUGUUAAUGAAAUCCUGCCUAACUGCCGGAACACAUUUGAAUAGAAUCAAAGUCAUAUGUGGAUUUUUUUUUCUCGUAUACUAAGUCUUCUCAGCAUAUAUUAACCUUUUUGCCAGCUUGAAAAAAUAAAAAGGCACAAAACUAAGAUGUUUCACUCAUUCAAUCAUUCUUCCAACAUUUAUGGAGCACCCAUUAUGUACCAGGCCCUGUACCCAGAACUAGGGGGAAAAAUUGAAUAAGGCAUGAAUUUCUUUAGGAAAACAAUCUAUUAUUCAACAUUAUAUGGUGAGAACCCAAAUUCUCAGCUUAUUGAAAAAAACCAAAGGAUGCCAUGGAUUUCUAGACCCUCUGUUUCAUUUGGUUAUAGGCAAAGAGGAAGGUAAGACCCUUCAAAAGGGCAAAUAGAGUGUUAAAUUAGCUAGGAUGUACUUGGAACUUGAAACAAUUUUGGAAUUUAGGAAUAAAGCUUGCUGGGUUAUGGGGAAGAGACUUCCAAGCAACCAGAAUAGAUGGAACCAUCUUGGGCAGACAAUCAGGAGAGUACCUAGACUUGCCAUUGUUCGUAAAAUAGUCUUUCAAGCAAGAAAAGCCUACAAUCACAAUCACCAAUCUGGGCUGACCCUCCCUUGUCCAGUCUCUGACCAGCUGCUGCCUGAUACCACUGAUAGCAGAAUUCAGCUGAGCAUUGUUCUGCUGAUCAGUGGUGCAAGGCACUCCAUUUAGUAGCAACUUCCUGAUGCAGAGCUUUUAGGGAAUUCAAGGACUUGCUCUGUCAUCAUCAUCGGAAGUACAUAUUUUCAUUGCUGAGUCAGAAGAAUGAAAUUGGAGCUGGACCAGACACAAAUGGGUGAGUCAAAUGAAAGACUAUAGCUUCAUAACAAACCCCACUGUUGCUGAGACUCCUGGGGUGUGGGUUACCGAGUGGAGUACCACAGCAAAUGCCCGUGGCCCAUUCAUUCAUUCAAUAUAUGGUUAUGGUACACUUUCUGUGUUUCAAGAACUGUUCUAGGUGCUGGGUGGGGACAAAACUGUUAACCAGACAGACAAGGUUACACCCUCACAAAGCUUAUCUUGCAAUGAAGAGAUGUAAUUUAGAUGAUGAUAGGGUGAAGGAAACAUUAAUGGAUAAACUACAGAGUAACUUAUGAAAAUCACUUACAUUAAACCAGACUUUAUUGCAGACAACAGAAUCCACUCUAUCUCAUUUAAGAAGAAAGAAAUUCUAUCUGGUCAGCCCUCCAUAUCCACAGUUUCUGUGUCUGUGAAUUCAAAAACAUUUGGGGAAAAAAAAAUUACCUGAACGGAACAUGUACGGACUUUUUUCUUUGUCAUUAUUUCCUAAAUAAUAUAGUAUAACAACUAUUUAAAUAGCAUCUACAUUUCAUCAGAUGUUAUAAGUAAUCUAGUAUGACUUAAGUAUACAUAUAACACAUGGGUUGUGCGCAAAUAGCAUGCUCUUUUAUAUAAGGGACUUGAGCAUCCAUAGAUUUAUAUCCACCUGGUGUCCUAGAACUAUCUUCCGGGGAUACCAAGAGAUAACAAAUACAGAGCUCAAUGACAAAGUAAUUGUUAAAAGGGUGGAAGAGUAGGCUCCAGUCUGACCUGUGCACAAUUUGGUUUGAGAAGCUGUUGUAUUGGGGAAGGUGCCACACCCCUGCCUACUACAGAAGGAUUUCAGCCCCCAGUACAAUCACAAUAGCUGUUGGUUCUGUUGCAGAAGUCCAAAUCAAUCGGGAAGCUGCCUCUUCCUCCUACAAGUUCCAGCCACAGCUACAACUACUUGCUGUGGAAUCCUACCACUUCUGCCAGGAUCCAAGCCAACACAAUGAAGCUCCGUCCCAUCCAAACGAAACCCUGUGAACCACAAAAUGGAUGCCUUACAUUUUAUUGAUGGAAACAGAUUCAUGUCUAGAAUCCAAUUUCCAACAGAAUCUGGGAAAUGUGGGUUUUAGCUUUGCAUUCUUGGCAUAGGAAAAGGUAGUUUUGAAUGGAUGUUAAACUAGCCAGUCCAUGGUAGCUACCACACCACUUUAAGAAGGAUAAUCAGGGAAUGCCUCUAAGGCAACUGACAUUUAAGCUAAGAUCUCAUGAAGGACUGAGGGAGAAACUUUCCAGGCAUAGACAAAAACAAGUCUGGGCAUAAUGAUUGGGGGACAAAAGAGAAUUUAGAAAAGUUAGCAGAAGCUAAAUCAAGCAAGGCUUAGAAGAUCAUAGUGAGGAAUUUGCAUCUUAUUCAGAGUACUUGGAAACCAAAGAAAGUUUUAUGAAGGGGAUUGACAAAAUUUGAUUCAUAUUUUUAAAAGAAAAUUCUGGCUGCAAGGUGAAGAAUGGAUUAUGGAGGCACAAAGAUAUGAGACAAAACAGAAAAAUUUUUUGAGAAUUAGAUAUGAUGGUGCCUUGGGCUAGGAUGUUGGCCAGACAGAAAUGAAAUUGGCAUUUUCUAUGUGUAUAUUGUAGGGAGGACUGCAGGGUUUCAGGAUGAAUUAGAUGUGAGGAGUUACAAAAAGGGAAGCAUUAAGGGUUGCUUCUAUAUUUCUACUACAAACAAUGGGGAAAUGGUAUCCUAUUUACUGGGUUGAGGGAAAACAUGUCUACAAUUGACCACAACAUCUAGUUCUUGAUAUUUAAAAAAUAAUCUGUCACAUAGACAUGUUGGAAGUAAUCUCAACCACAGAGCCUCAUGUUUUGCUCUCCCAAAUGGCAACUAAUCUCACUCUUCAGAGUAUCAUUUAGGUUCCAAAGAAGAGGGUCUCAAUCUCUAUGCAUGUAAGAUACUGACACAGGUGUAUGUAAACACUGGUAUUAAGAUUUACAUGGUAAAAUACAUGUGGCAGUGUAGAAUAGUCUGGGGGUGGUAGUAUCUAAUCUCACAAAAAAUGAAAGUAAUAAAGAGAUUUGAAGGAGAAAAAUCACAUGCUGAAGAGUUGGGGACCAUGGCAAGUCACAGCCCUGUGCCAUCUUGGUGCAGCAAAAUAACCCUCAGCUCACUGACUCCCGUGUCCUUCCCCUGCCCACCUCUCUCCACUCACUUCACCAUCAAAACAGUUGCUGGAAUUAGCAGAAGAGGAUGUUUACUGGACUUAUACAUGAAUAAUUAAAUGAUGUCAAAAGCAAAAAAUGUAGAUUAUUGUUUCUUUAUAAACAUGCAUAUUCUAAACAAUCAACCUGGGAGCCACCCUGAAGAACAAACAGAAAGAUCACAACUCUAAACUCUGCUAUAAUCUCCUCAACAAAUAAAUACACCAAUAAGAAUUAAAAGUCUUGGUAAGAGACAGAAUGGGAGGACAUACCUGUGCCCUGCCUCUCUUAAGCAAUCAGAGCUCUUAGAAUAGCUCUGUUGCUGGGGCAGAAGCAAAUAAUCUCCUGCUCUCCCUGAGCAUUAAAUCUUUCACAUGUCUUCAGCACUCUCCAUGGGCAUACUGAUGCCAAAGCAGAAAAAGAUUUAAUUUCAUGUUGCUAGGUUUUUCACUCUUCUGCAGUUAAUAAAGAGGCAGGUGCAGUCAGCUGGGUUGUUAAAAAAGAAAAAGGAGAGGGUUAAAAUUGUUUAUUUGACCUACUUCCAAUCUUGCUAAAUCACAGAAUAAGACAAUUUAUAACUUGUUCCCAGCUCCCAUACCUCAAUCACUUGCAAGGGAAAUGCAUCUGAAGGUAUUUCACACUUACAAAUGAAAAUUAUUUUGCCAAUCACGGCACUCUAAGCCUUGCAUGUAAGGAUUUUUAAACGCUUAACUACCCCUCCGUAAGUAUAUGAUCUAGUAAGCUCAUGAUGAAAGUUACUAGCUGUCAACCUGAUGAUUUGUAGGUCAUGUGGAUGGACACUCAGUGCUCUCAGGAGAUAAAGGUCAAAUGAAUGUCAUCUAUCACUUGAAAAGUGAAGUUGGUCUAAGGAAAAGAAAGGGGUUGUGUUUUUGUUGUUGUUGUUUUAAAGUGUCUAAUAAAAUAAUCAGUCAACUGCAUUUGGCCAAUCUCCUUGCUUUGGAGCCAUCAAUUUGAGCUCAGUUUCCAUCUUUAGCCCUUUCUCUGACUAUGCUAGGGUUUUUGUUAAGUGCUCACACACCAGUGUGGGGAGGAAAAGGCAGAGGGGUAGGAGCCACAAUUUGUUAUUUUUGUCACCUAAUGGAAAAAUGGAUUCAUGUGUAACUUUUCUUUGGAGUCUCUUGGUUCUGAGCAGAUGGCAGAUAUUUAAUACACAGCUCUUGAAUGUGUCAAUGAAUCAUGGUACCCAUCUGGUACAGGCAAAUUCUACACUGGGCAUUGUGGUUGCUUCUGUAAAAUAUAUUGCACGUCUCUCUUCCUGAGAAAAAGCAAUGGUGUCUGAGGGAACAGCCUCAGUUAAAGAGAGGGGUUUGGCUAACUAUGGGUAAUAGCAACUUCUUUUCCAGAGCCUGGAAAAGAAAUGGUUAUGUAAACCUUGAUUCUGACCCAGGAGACAGGAAGAAAGAUUCCAAGAAUCUUCUUGGUUCUUUUAUAUAUACACCUUUAUUUAUUUUUAUGUGGUACUGAGGAUUGAACCCUGGACCUCACACAUGCUAGGUGAGCACUGAACCACAACACCAGCCCCUUCUUCUUAAUUCUUAAGAGAGAGUUGUAGCAGCUUGGGGGGCGGGGGGAUGGGCGGGGGNNNNNNNNNNNNNNNNNNNNNNNNNNNNNNNNNNNNNNNNNNNNNNNNNNNNNNNNNNNNNNNNNNNNNNNNNNNNNNNNNNNNNNNNNNNNNNNNNNNNNNNNNNNNNNNNNNNNNNNNNNNNNNNNNNNNNNNNNNNNNNNNNNNNNNNNNNNNNNNNNNNNNNNNNNNNNNNNNNNNNNNNNNNNNNNNNNNNNNNNNNNNNNNNNNNNNNNNNNNNNNNNNNNNNNNNNNNNNNNNNNNNNNNNNNNNNNNNNNNNNNNNNNNNNNNNNNNNNNNNNNNNNNNNNNNNNNNNNNNNNNNNNNNNNNNNNNNNNNNNNNNNNNNNNNNNNNNNNNNNNNNNNNNNNNNNNNNNNNNNNNNNNNNNNNNNNNNNNNNNNNNNNNNNNNNNNNNNNNNNNNNNNNNNNNNNNNNNNNNNNNNNNNNNNNNNNNNNNNNNNNNNNNNNNNNNNNNNNNNNNNNNNNNNNNNNNNNNNNNNNNNNNNNNNNNNNNNNNNNNNNNNNNNNNNNNNNNNNNNNNNNNNNNNNNNNNNNNNNNNNNNNNNNNNNNNNNNNNNNNNNNNNNNNNNNNNNNNNNNNNNNNNNNNNNNNNNNNNNNNNNNNNNNNNNNNNNNNNNNNNNNNNNNNNNNNNNNNNNNNNNNNNNNNNNNNNNNNNNNNNNNNNNNNNNNNNNNNNNNNNNNNNNNNNNNNNNNNNNNNNNNNNNNNNNNNNNNNNNNNNNNNNNNNNNNNNNNNNNNNNNNNNNNNNNNNNNNNNNNNNNNNNNNNNNNNNNNNNNNNNNNNNNNNNNNNNNNNNNNNNNNNNNNNNNNNNNNNNNNNNNNNNNNNNNNNNNNNNNNNNNNNNNNNNNNNNNNNNNNNNNNNNNNNNNNNNNNNNNNNNNNNNNNNNNNNNNNNNNNNNNNNNNNNNNNNNNNNNNNNNNNNNNNNNNNNNNNNNNNNNNNNNNNNNNNNNNNNNNNNNNNNNNNNNNNNNNNNNNNNNNNNNNNNNNNNNNNNNNNNNNNNNNNNNNNNNNNNNNNNNNNNNNNNNNNNNNNNNNNNNNNNNNNNNNNNNNNNNNNNNNNNNNNNNNNNNNNNNNNNNNNNNNNNNNNNNNNNNNNNNNNNNNNNNNNNNNNNNNNNNNNNNNNNNNNNNNNNNNNNNNNNNNNNNNNNNNNNNNNNNNNNNNNNNNNNNNNNNNNNNNNNNNNNNNNNNNNNNNNNNNNNNNNNNNNNNNNNNNNNNNNNNNNNNNNNNNNNNNNNNNNNNNNNNNNNNNNNNNNNNNNNNNNNNNNNNNNNNNNNNNNNNNNNNNNNNNNNNNNNNNNNNNNNNNNNNNNNNNNNNNNNNNNNNNNNNNNNNNNNNNNNNNNNNNNNNNNNNNNNNNNNNNNNNNNNNNNNNNNNNNNNNNNNNNNNNNNNNNNNNNNNNNNNNNNNNNNNNNNNNNNNNNNNNNNNNNNNNNNNNNNNNNNNNNNNNNNNNNNNNNNNNNNNNNNNNNNNNNNNNNNNNNNNNNNNNNNNNNNNNNNNNNNNNNNNNNNNNNNNNNNNNNNNNNNNNNNNNNNNNNNNNNNNNNNNNNNNNNNNNNNNNNNNNNNNNNNNNNNNNNNNNNNNNNNNNNNNNNNNNNNNNNNNNNNNNNNNNNNNNNNNNNNNNNNNNNNNNNNNNNNNNNNNNNNNNNNNNNNNNNNNNNNNNNNNNNNNNNNNNNNNNNNNNNNNNNNNNNNNNNNNNNNNNNNNNNNNNNNNNNNNNNNNNNNNNNNNNNNNNNNNNNNNNNNNNNNNNNNNNNNNNNNNNNNNNNNNNNNNNNNNNNNNNNNNNNNNNNNNNNNNNNNNNNNNNNNNNNNNNNNNNNNNNNNNNNNNNNNNNNNNNNNNNNNNNNNNNNNNNNNNNNNNNNNNNNNNNNNNNNNNNNNNNNNNNNNNNNNNNNNNNNNNNNNNNNNNNNNNNNNNNNNNNNNNNNNNNNNNNNNNNNNNNNNNNNNNNNNNNNNNNNNNNNNNNNNNNNNNNNNNNNNNNNNNNNNNNNNNNNNNNNNNNNNNNNNNNNNNNNNNNNNNNNNNNNNNNNNNNNNNNNNNNNNNNNNNNNNNNNNNNNNNNNNNNNNNNNNNNNNNNNNNNNNNNNNNNNNNNNNNNNNNNNNNNNNNNNNNNNNNNNNNNNNNNNNNNNNNNNNNNNNNNNNNNNNNNNNNNNNNNNNNNNNNNNNNNNNNNNNNNNNNNNNNNNNNNNNNNNNNNNNNNNNNNNNNNNNNNNGGUUUGAGAAGUAAGGAAAGUGAGCCAUUAAGUGUGGAGAUUCCUUAUUGGUUGACUGAUGUAUCUAGUUUAUGCUAAUUAGAUAAGCUGUGUGGAAUGUAUAAAUACUGCUCCUGUCCUGCAAUAAACGGCUCCCACUCCUGCUGUAUCAACAUACACAAGUUAUUCGUCACCCCCCCCCCCCCCGGUUAUUUUGCUGCAGCCUGACUGCGGCAGCUUGAGGCUACUAAAUUGCUUUCCAAGGUGUUUAUUCCCAUUGAAGUUCCCACCAGCAAAGUGCAAAUGUGUGUGUGUGUGUGUGUAUAUAUAUAUAUAUAUAUAUAUCUUUAAAUAACUUUUUCUUCAUAACUGGAGCCAUUCAUGUUUCAAUUGUGAAUUGCCUGUUCUUAUCUUUGCCUAUUCUAACGUUGACUUAUCUUUUCCUGUUGAUAGUAAUACUAAAAAUUGCAUAAGUUUUAAAGUAAAAAGGGUCAUAUUGACUCAUGAUUCUGGUUCAAGAUGGAGGGACCCCAUAUGCUGGUCAGAAUCACAGUAUGGUCAGGGCAUCUUCCAGUGAUCAGCAGGUAAUGUGUGUGAGCAUCUAGAGCCUAGAAGGUCCCUCUUCUCAUAAAGUGACCAGGAUUCAGUGGUGAAGCUCCACUCCUGCCAUGGACUGAGCUGCUUUUCUCCCUGGGGCCCUCCCCCAGUGAUGUUCUGUCUCACCUGGGGCCCAGAGUAAUGGAGUCUGCUAUCUAGGGACUGAGAUCUCUGAAACUAUAAACCCCUGAGAAACUUUUCCUCCUCUAAGUUGUUCUUGUCAGGUAUUUUGGUCACAGUAACACAAAAUCUGACUAAAAGAGUCAAUAUGUCAAUCUUUCUCCAGAACAAUACAGGAACUUAGAACACUUUAAAUUGAAUCAGUGCCUUCUUGUUUUGCAUAUUACUUUUGUACGACUUUUAAUUUUUCCUUUCUUUUUACCUCUAAAUCGUGCCAUUAUUAACAGUGUUAUAGAGUCAAUUCUAAUUCAGAUUUAUCCCAUGUUUACUAAUUUAUUUGUUCAUUAUUCCUUCUUGCCUCUUAUUCCUAAUUUCUAUGUGUUAAUUAAAUAAUCUAUGCUCAACAAAAUUAACAUUCAAAAAUGAAGGUGUUAAAAAUAAAACAGUUAGAACAGGGUCUAAUCCACAGAAGGGCAGUCCCUCAAGUAAAGAAAAGUGUAAGGCAGGUUAAAGUACAUUUCUAAGUGGGCCGGGGGGCUGCUCUUCUUGUAGACUCUGCUUUAGCCAAUUCUAGACAUACUACCCCAUUUCAGUUCUUCAUUUCUUAUCCUUUCCAACUAUACCUUCUCCGUCCCCAAGUCUCAACAACAAUCACUGAUUCACUAGGAUAGAAGGUUAAGAUCAGAAAUGGGAAGGGAGGAACUCCUUUCUUUCACAUUUUUUAUUGGUGCAUUAUAGUUGUUCAUAAUGGUGGGAUUUAUUGUUAUGUAUUAGUACAUGCACACAAUAUAAUAGUGUAAUUUGACCAAUAUCACUCCCAGUACUUCCCCCUGGAAUAGAAGACCUCUUGAGUUUUUUCAGACUAUCCCAUGUCAAAGCAUCUGUAGCAUUCCCCUCUAAGAGAUGGCCCUACUCUCUUGAAGACCAGAUAGAUCACAUAAGGUUGCAAAGUAAUUUGAUUCUGGAACUCAGACCUUCCAGUGCUCCAGGACAUGAUUCUUUAAAAUCAUACAGUCAUCAAAAAGCCUCAGUACCAGCUGCAUGGAAAGAGACUCUGCAGCUCUCACUUAAUUUUGGUUGCAUUACCUCAUUCUAUACAUCAUUCAUGACAAGCAAGGAACCACAGGGCUCCCUUCGCUAAAUACUCUUGUCCUUGACCCAGCUCUAAUUGAUUUGGCCAUUUACUUCAUAAAUGUGUAAAUCCUGUAGCUGAGAGAGCUUGUGCAAAAGUUUCAGUGCAGUGGGUUCCCUCCUGGUUGUCACAACAAGCAAAAGAAUCCAAGGGAAAUAGGAAUCCUGACCCACUGCCGUUUUCCUGUCCUUCCCUUGUGAUCCCCAUUGCCGUUUUCCUGUCCUUCCCUUGUGAUCCCCAUUGCCAUCGCUCUGGUAACUAAGAUGGAAAGAGUGAGCGAGGAGUUUGUUUUUUUUUUUUUUAAUUGCCUUUGUAUGGGCUAUUUAUGUCUUCCAGCUUGGUACUUUUCCUUGAACUCAAAGAGAGCACUGAGACAGACUGCAGCGUGACUCCUGCACCCCACAAACAUGAAUACAUUUGCACUUCAGCAGCUGCUUGUGCUGGGAAGGAACCAGGAAUUUUGGGGGCCCAUCCAUCUUUCUUGUGUGUCAGGGCAGUAACUCAAGAGCAUGUGACCUUGGGCCUGGAAGUGAGGCGGCACUCUCCCAUGUCCUAGAGGAACAGUACAUUGAGGAUUUUGUCUUGUCUAUAGACACAGCUCUUCUACCUGUCUUAAUUACCAGGGCUUCAAAACUUUCCAAGAAGGAAGGAAGAUGGAAGCAAAGGAUUCAUUCUGGAACUGCAGAAGAGUGGCAGCAUUUGGGGUUGGAGGCAGUAGAUACUUAGAACUGAACCAGGAUUUUCUGUCCCAUAUUGAAACACAAUUAGGCAAAGGAGCCUUCUCAGCUUAGACCCAUUCCAAUCAUCUGUACCCUCAACACUUAAUAAAGCAUUGGAAGAAUGGAGGAGCUGCAAGAUGCUGAAUCACCAGAGCAAGAUUAGAUGGUGUGGGCUGGGGUUGUGGUUCAAUGGUAGAGGACUUUCCUAGCACAUGUGAGGCAUUGGGUUUGAUCCUCAGCACCACAUAAGAAUAAAUAAAUAAAAUAAAGGCAUUAUGUCCAUCUACAGCUAAAAAAAAUUAUUAAAAAAAAAAAGAUUAGAUGAUGCCUGUGUACUGUGAAUGAGCUUGAAAGCAAAGGUAUACAUUUUAGAAAGAGUUUCAACAUCAAGGGUCAAGCAACAGGGGUUUUGUAUUUAGCUAGGAGUGAAGCAAAGUUUUUAUUUCUUCAGAAUUCCAAUAAGAAAGGUUUCAUUUCUGAAGUGUUUGGGAGCACAGCAGUCUUUGCCUGACACUUGCCACAGUGGGAUAAUAAGCAAGGCAUGAAAGUGUCACAAUUGACUGGUAUUUUUCCCAAACUACGCAAUGUACUUUGAAAACCAAAGAAAGAGCCUAGCCAAAAAAAUACAUAUUACUCUGUUUUCAAAAGGACUAUUUUUAUAAUUGCUUAAGUGAAAGGAGCCAGAAGAGAGGUUUACUCGACUAGAUCAUCUCUUGAGCCCUCUUCUCAUGGAGGCCACUCCAUGGAAUUAUAGAAUUCAUGAAAUUAUAGAUUCCAGGAGAAUCUAUAAUUCAGAAUCACUCUCCAUCUACCCCUGGGUCCUACUAAAUUCUUAAUUCUUGUAUUAUGUAGACCUUAAAAUCAAUCACUGGAAGAAAGUCUCAAAGUCAGCUUAAGGUUAAUUUCCCUCAAGAAAGUCCUGGUUUCUCUUCCCUUGGGACCUCUCUGUCCUCACUUCUUAAUCAUUUCUGUCUUCCUCCAGCCUAACCCUAACUAGAUCUUUCCUACCAACAUUUGCCCAGGAACUGGCAGAGUCAAUGGGAAAGCUCUUUAAGAAUAUAAUGUUUGCUAUUAAUAGCAGUGACACCGGCCAUUGAGAGUCAAGGCAGCCAAGCAAGGAGAUCUGUCAGCCUGGAUUAACUUUCCAGCACCUGGGAGGUAGGAGUUAUUUAUACAUAAAAAUAGAAGAAAAAAAAAGUCUGCCCCUCAUAAGCCCCUGGUGUUUGGGAAGGCUUCCAUGGAUUCACAUCCAAAGAUAUUUCCCAACUGUCCUCCAAGCCCAGCAGCAAACUUUUUUAAAAAUCUGGAAUUAAUGAAAGGAAGGCUUCUUUCAGACUGAAUCAAAAUCCAUGAUUAUGUGGACAUGUAUUCUGUCCCGUGGGUUUCCCAUCAUUUAACCAGAUCCCCAGGAAUCUAUAUCAGAAGGCACAUGUGUCACAGCAUACUCUUGGAGUCACCUAUCAAAGUUAUCAAUGAGUCUUUUACUAGAGAAUGGUCCUUGCCUUCUACUAUACUCUCUGGGCCUCCAAAAUCCCACCAAGAAACGACCAUGCAUUCUCUAUGUUGAAGGCCAAAUUUCACUUCUCACCCCUGGUAGGAUUUCUUUUCUCAUCAUAGCACGAACUACAAGAUUCAAAUCAAAAUCUUUUCAAAUAACUCUGCAUUUUACAGGAGCAUUUUGAGGUUGAUUUUGCUAAGUUCCUGGGUUCUAGAAGCCAGAAUUCAAGAUGCAUAUAGAUACUUGUUGCCAAGUUUAGAGGUUAGGUGACCACAGAUGUAAUUCAAGCAAUAAAAUUAUAUAAAAUAUUCACACAGGCCCUAUUUUGGGGCCUCUUUGGAUUAGGUCACCUUGCGCUUCAAUGGUCUCUGAUCCAGAGAAGCUUAAAGUACCAUAGUACUGAAAAUUUUCUUUCCAAUAUCUCAUGUACUGAGGUCCACACUCACACACCCUGGAUGUCUUUGGGAAGUGGCAGCCGUAUUAUGUGAACCAGUAAAAUAGCCAGAGCAUUUUUCUGCACUGUCCAGCCUUUCAACUCCCAGUUCUGAUCUUCCAAUUGCAAUGAUUCUUGCCUUCUAGGGUGUCAGGAAUUAGGAGACUAUCACCAUCUCCCCACCUCUUUAGGACCUUUCAUCUUUCCCCUGAUCCAAUUCCUUGAGUCCUUCUCACCUCCAACUACUUUUUUUUCCUUGUCCUUGUCCUUCUCCAAAUUCCCUAAGGUUCUAUGCCCCUAAAAUUAGCUUUAUAAAAUUCAAGUGAUCCUCCAGAUGCUUUCUCACUGAGAAGCUGAGAAGCCAGCUGUCACCUUUGGUGUCUGUUACGCCAUGACUCUGGGUACGUGUCCCAAAAUAGGUCUGGCCUUUUGUGUUGCCUUGUCUCAUUGCCGUGCGGCUCCUCAGUCACUAUCUACUAUCAUCCCAGCUCCCCUUUGGCACUGCUGCUUUCCAGGUUUGUCUUCUUUUUGAGAAAAGCCAGAACUUUCUUGAGGGAAAUUAAUGUUUCACAUUAUUUUCUUUCAAACUUGAAUAAGCUCCUGGUCAGUAUUCCCAGAAAGAAUGUGUCUUGUCACCCUGGUUUGGAAAGAGCACCUAUCUCCAUGAAUUCUUCUACCAAAGGAGUUCAACUCUGGAAGAAAAAAAAAAGCAAGAAUUUUUUUUUUUUUUUGGUCAUUUUAGACUCUGUUAGUACAUCCAACAAUGUACUAACAGAGAAAGCAACUUAGCAAGCAAGGUAGGAUCAACCACCCUGGAGCUGUGGAGAGAACAUUUUCCCCACUAAAAUAAAUUCUCUUAGGAUUACAUGACCAUGCCCUGGGCUUCUUCUUAAGGCUUUGUUGCUUGGGAACUCUGCUUUCUUCUCUAUUCCUCCCCCACAAUCUGUCUUAAUAUCCUUUCUGGGAGCUCAACUAGGGCAGGUGUCAGGAAGCAAGUCCAUGGGGGCAGAGUGGCCUCACCCUCCUCCAGAGAAGUGCAGGAGCCCAUGCUUGGCUCUGAGGAAGUCCAAGAGGCAUUCAUUUCAGGAGCUUCCAGGCCCACAAUAUGAAUGCCCACAGCUUCAGGGGGAAAGACAUUCCUGUUUUAACAGGUCCUCGGUAACAGCACUGUCCACUUUAUACUUGUGAAAGAAAUCUAUUUCUCAGUCAUUAGCCUCAUUUACUUUAUUUUGUUCAGCCUCAAUGAUUUACUGGUUUACCACUAAGUGUAAAGUGAAGAAGUAAAGCAAUGGUAGCCUAGGAAGCACUGGUGUCUAGAGUUGAAUUAAUAGGCAGAAGCACAGCUAAGAAGUAUAUGAGAUCUAAAAUAAGUCGCUAACUUACCCUGUUUCUUCUAAUGUACCUAUACAGGUACCUAGGAAAAAAGUCCAUCCACUGUUCCAAAGAAUCAGUAAAGAACACUGGAAUUUACCAUAGCUCACCAUCACCCCCAAAAAACUAUUCCUGCCCCUUUAACAAUAUUUUAAGCAACAAGAAUCUUUCAUUGCCAGAUAAUUUGUCACUCUUAUUUGAGACUAAGGGACCACCUGAGGUCUCCACAUUAGCCACUGCAUUAAGUAAAAAGGUACAUCACAGCCAUGAUGAUUGGUGCUCAUGAUGUAAACCCCUGUGAGUGUGCGUCCUUCCAGAGUUUAUCUACAGAAACACAUGUAUUUCUCCCUUAGCAGCAACUGACUGUUCAAACAAUUUAAUGUUUUAACAUUACCAUUAAUAACAAUAGCCAAUAAUAAUUGUGCAUUUAUACAGUAACCUAUCAUUAAUUAAUUUCAUUCAAACCACAUGAAGCAUCUCCUGUUUAAAAUUAGUGAUCAGAAGCUCAAAGAGACAAAACCCCUUCACAAAACCACAGCAUUCAUGAGUACUUGAAUUUAGACUCAAACUGAGAUCUCCCGGUUACUCACUUCAAGGAUUUAAUCACAUUCUAUACUGUUGAUUUUUUUUUUUUUAGAAAGAGAGAGAGAGAGACAGAGAGAGAAUUUUUUAAUAUUUAUUUUUUAGUUAUCGGCGGACACAACAUCUUUGUUUGUAUGUGGUGCUGAGGAUCGAACCCGGGCUGCACGCAUGCCAGGUGAGCGUGCUACCCCUUGAGCCACAUCCCCAGCCCUAUACUGUUGAUUUUAAUCCAAAUGUUGAAGGCUAAGAGUUCGAAACUUUAUUUUCUUUUAAUAUUUCUAAAUUCUAUUAAUAUUACUACAGCAAGCAUCUUCAUUACAAAUUGACAUGAAAAUGAGGUUUCUACUAAUGUUUAUUUUGUUUCUUGUUCUAAUUAGUUAUAUAUGACAAUAGAAUGCAUUUUGACACACCACACAUAAAUGGAGUAUAACUUAUCAUUCUUCUAGUUGUACACAAUGUAGAAUCACAGCAAUCACAUAAUUAUAUAUAUACACGGGAUGAUAAUGUUUCAUUCAUUCUACUAUUCUUCCUACCCCCCAUACCCCCUCCCCUCAACUAACCCAAAGAACCUCUAUUUUUCCUUGGCUACUACUCCCUCUUAUUUUGAAUUAGCAUCUGCAUAUUAGAGAGAACAUUUGGCCUUUGGUUUUUGGGGGACUGGCUUAUUCAAAUUCUCUUUCCCCCAGCUACUUAAGAUGAUUUUUCACACAUUUAAAUACUUCAGUUAAAACCCAGUUUGUACGCAUUUCUCAGACUUCUGGAUAUAAUAGCACUUUCUGAGUGUGGCUCACCAUGAACAAAACUGGUUCAGGGAAUAAAUACCAAAUUACAUUUCAUUCUUUUUCCUUUAAGAAAAACAGUGGCUCAAUCUAAAUGGAAUGACCCCAGACCCACAAGUUGCAAGCUCCCAAAAGCUUCUCUGAGACUACCUUGGUGGUUGUAAUAGUUUGCUAGGACUGCCAUUAAUAAAGUCCUAGGACUUACCACUCACAAAGUGGAAAUUUACUCUCACUCUGGAGGCCAGAACUCUGAGAUCAAAGUAUUGGCAGGUUGGUUUCUGAGUCCUCUCUCCUGGGCUUGCAGACAGAUGUCAUCUCCCCAUGUCUUUCACUUGGUUUUCCUUCUGUGCCUGUCCAUGUCCUAAUUUCCCCUUUUUAUAAAUACAAUAGUCUUAUUGAAUUAAGGCCCACUAUAUGACCUCAUUUUACCUUAAUGACCUCUCAAAGACCCAUCUCCAAGUACAGUCCCAUUCUGAUACUGGCAAUUAGGACUUCAGCAUAUGAAUUUGGAGAAGACACAAUUCAAUGUAUAACUGUAUCCUAACAAUUUUCUUUUGCAAGGUGAGCUAUGUUGUAUGAUAUAAAUAUAUAUGCUUCUGACCAUGAUAACUAAGAAUUUAAACCACUACUUUUGCUAAGUGCUUUUGUGUUGUUCACCUGUGACAACACGGACAAGUUAUUUUGUGAGUGAUAAUAAAAACAAUAAUUUUUAUUGAAGCAAAAUAAAUUACAUUAUAGUUUCCAUCUUAGAAGACAUCACUGAUCUCAGUCCAAAAAAAAAUAGUAUAGAUGUUUUCACCAAUUACAGAUUGCCAAUUAGUAAAAACAAAUUCUAGAUUCCUAAAAAUUUUAUUGAGACCAAUAACAUCUUAAUUUCUUUUUUUAAGAAUUCUUUUUAGCUGUAGAUGGACAUAACUUUCUUUUUUUUUGGUUUUUUGGUUUUUUGGUUUUUGGAUUUGUUUUGUCUUGUUUAUUUUUAUGUAGUGCUGAGGAUUGAACCCAGAGCCUCACAUGUGCUAGGCAAGCACUCUACCACUGAGCCACAGCCUCAGCCCACAUCUUAACUUCUUGUUAUAUAUCUGACACUCAAAACUGCCCAACCUCUAAUGAAGAGAAGGCCCCGAAUAAUCUACCCUACAUAUGUCUCUCUACUUGGUAACCAUGUGAAGCUUCAAAAUGUCCCAACAAGAGACAAAUCAGAUAUGUAUGUUACGUCAAUCUCAAAGCUACCACUUAGGUGGUACCUACUGAUUUCACAUAUUAUGCUAGAAAUAAAUCAUUUGUCCCCUCAAAAUACUUGCAAGAGAGACAUCAUUGUCUCUGCUUUACCAGGAAGUAGACAGAACAUUAGAGAUAUUAAAUGAAUUGACCAAAAAUCACACAGUUGUUCAAGGUAGACCUUAGAUGUAAACCUAGACCUGUCUGGCUCCAACUUUUUUUCCCACUACUUCCUUGACUUCUGAAGAUAUGUAGCAGUGUACUUAGUCUAAGUGGCUCAAUAACUCAGAAUUUUUCCUGGGCCAUAAAAAUAUCCAAUCUAGUUCCAUCAACUGUUAGUUCAAGUAAAUAAAAUAACAAGAGCAUCUUUGUCUCUAUAUUUUAGCUGCAAAAUCAAUCAUGGGGUAUUUACCACUAGAAAUAAAAUCUACAUCUGUCUUUAGGUGAUGAUGAAUAUUGAGGCAGACACAUAUACUUUACCAGAAAAAAAGUUACCUAUAUGGAGUCAACCCAAAUAGUAAUCACGAGGUACUACGUAACAUCUCUGGACCAUGGUCUUGCAGACACUUAUUCCAUUGUUUAAUUUUGCUCACUUUGUGACUGGGCUUCCCAGUCAACAUGUUCUGAAAGAAGGAAUGCUUUCUAGUCCACCUUCAUUUUUUCUUGCAGUUCUGAGGGCCAUGACUUGAACAGGGCAAGUGCUCACCAAGUUUCAUGACUAGCUUUGAGGUCUUUACAAAAUGACCAAGAGAAGCUCAUGGAGGAUUUGGUCACAACCUUACAAUUAUACAACAAGUUAUCCAGGAAAUCCCUAAAACCAUUCCUCAGACCUGGUCCUGAGGAAUGGCUGGUGGUGCUCGUGAAGAGUGCUUUAUGACAACUACGAAAUUUGUUUAUGUAAGUAGGAAGUGUAAGAAAUCUUAACCAGUCCUAAUUGGGGAACUUACUCCUAAACAAAGCAGAAUUCUGUUUGGGGCCCUCAUCAAUCUGCCUGAGAGAGUUGACUGCAGCACUGACUCAGUCAAGUCUACCAGUGAGCUAGAAAUGCCUUCCUUUCCCUACUGCUGCUCUGUUGUCAUCUUUCUUCCAUAGCAAGACUUGAUCCUCGUGGUCAAAAAGUAGAUUUCUUGAAAUUACAACAACAGGGAAAAUCCAGAGUAGUAUGUCUAGAGUUUUAUUCUAAAUACAUAACUAGACACACCAUACCUCUUUAAUUAGAAGUAGAAACUCAAAAGAACAUACAAAGAUACUUGAUACUUAAGACUAAGCCAAGAGCGAGCCCUCCUGAUAAAUAUAAUGGGAAUCCUGAUGGCAGAGAUCAAAAGGUCUUCUUCAAAAGAAAUGCACGUGAAACUUGCAGUGAGAACAUGAUUGGAUGCAUAUUGGUAAAUCUGGUCUCUAAGGAAAAAGUAAUCUUCAAGAAGCCUGCUGUAAGACACAGAAUGCUUCUUUAGUCUGAUGUCUCCUUUCAGUUCAGCAUAUAUAGGUCUGCUCUGGGCCCUUCUAUUUGUCCCAGAAUGAUUCUGCACACCUUUUCACACCACAGAGCACUAAGAAAACUACAAAAUUCUUCAGCCUAUUGAGAACAGGCUUUAAAAAUUGAUAAUAGAUUGAGAUAAGCUAAUGGACUUACUGAUCCUUUAAGGAGGCAGAGAUAUUUUGAUGUAGAGUUAGAGGCAGUUUGAAAACCAAACAAGCACUAGGGAUUUAGAGCACUUGGGCCAUCUCGAGACUGGUUUGAAAUUCUCUCCUGUUUUCUGGGAGCUAUUAACUACAUCACAGAUUCAGGUAGAUUAGAAGACAUUGGCAUCUAGACACAGAAGCAGAGUUGGGGGAGGGAGCUACCAAUCCCCAAGGAAUAAGUCUCUGCUAAAAUUCUGAAUCUGAAAUUUUCUUUCCUCAGAAAACACAGGUUUGCAGAAGACACCAAUUUAGAUUCAGAAAGGAGGCCAUAAAUUUGGAUAAACAAGAUAAGCAUAAAAUAAGAACAAGAAGCCAGGCGUGAUGGUGCAUACCUGUAAUACCAGUAGCUUGGGCCACAGAGGCAGGAGGAUCAUGAGUUCAAAGCCAGCCUCAGCAAUUUAGCAAGGCCCUAAGCAACUCAGUGAGACCCUCUCUCUAAAUAAAAAUAUUUUUUAAAUGCUGGGGAUGUUGCUCAGUGGUUAAGCACCCCAGGUUCAAUCCCUGGUACCAGAUAGAUAGAUAGAUAGAUAGGAACAAGAAGAAAUCCAAGGUGCAAAAUAUGGUAGAAUACAGAACCUGGACUAUUCAAGUAACUUCUAGUAAUGCUUAUAUAUGCAUUAUCAUAGUGCAGACUCCAUAGGUAGCCUUCCAAACAGCAAUUCUAGAAAGUGAAAGGGUACACUAGGGCUCCAAAAGUGAGUCACGCCAAAGCCAUCACUGCACAGCUACCCACCCCUAUCAUCAAGGCAGAAAUGACUCCAUAUUAGCCACAACUUCCAUGAUCUCAUUAGCAAAGAUAUUAAGAAUCCGCCGUUCCUCUCAGAGUAAAGAUUGAAAUGGUGCCACAAAUUAUUUCACCCAGAACAUUUCACUUUUAAUGGGUGGAUGGGCAUGGGGAAAAAUAAUAUCCAUCUCCCAGUGGUAGUUUUCCUUAAUCUUUUUGGGAGGAUAUUUGUGUGAUUGAAAUGUGUCCUGAUGUAUGCUAGUCCAGAUAAAGUCCUAAAUGUGGCCUCCUGAAGAUUUGGAGAAUGGUUGAGACACUUUCCUUACAAGUAAGCAGAUUGACCAAAAGUCAACUAUGGUCUUAUACAAAUUAAAAGUUCAGGGAUGGAUCUAGCUUAGUGCAUAGAUAGAUUCAGGACUCAAAUAAUAUGAUAAAGAUUUGGCUCCCCUCACCACACACACACACACACACACACACACACACACACACACUUCAGUUAGCUCUGCCUUCCCAAGUCUCAAGUCCCACAUAUCUGUAUGAUGACAUUAGCACUAUGGACCUCUCAGGCAUCAAAAGUCCUAUUCCACAUACAAGUCUCAGCACAGCUGAUAUGGUCACAUGUUUACCUUCAAACCCAGACUGUGUCAGAGUCAGAGGGAACUGGGCCACAGACUGUUAGAAAAGUGGAGAUACAGCUAUGGUUAUCAUAAGAAAGGUUGAAUAGGGACUGCCAGAAACUAUGUAUGCCCACUCCAAUGAGCAAGUGGCCUUGAAGCUUAUGUUUGAAGAAACAGCUGAUCUUAGUUUGGAUAUCUCUCCAGAAAACAGAACCCAAGACAAAGGUUUGCAUGCAGGCCAUCUCUCUGCAGAAAUGAAUUAGGAAAUGGUUGGGAGCUGGGAAGGAUGAAACAGGAAAGAAGGAAAAAUCAAGGCAAGGAAGAUUGCAGGUGUUUAUAGAAGGAGGGACCCAGGAAGAGAGCACUUGCUGAUCAGCUCCCACAUUCCAAUGGUCAAGGAUUAUCUAUAGAUGUUAGUUCUCAUGUCUUGAUAGAUGUAGGCAAGAGAAUGGACUAAUGGUUCCUGAAAAUAUUCCACACUGCAAAGUCAGAAAAUCCUGAAAGCAGAAAGAGGGAGAUAGAUAGUAUAGCUGGUCUCCAUGGCAACAGUCAGGGUCAAAAGUAGGGCAAGAGGAUGUGAAGUAGGACACAAGAAUUCUUGGAUGUACCUUUCCUCCUGACACUUAAACUAUUUUGCUUUGUUUUGUGUGUCGUUUCUGGUUAAUUUUUAACCAAGAAUAACUGUAAAGGGAAAACACCACAGGGCUGGGCAUGUAAUUAUAUGAGGAACAACAGAGAAAAACCUGGGCUUGAAUCUUUACUCAGCCAUCAUCAAUUUCACUUAGUCUUUUAGUCAAUUAAACUAUCAUCAGUAAAACAUAAAUGUCAAUUAUGCCAACCUUAUGUGAUUGUUGGGAACAUUAUUAGUAUGUAAAGUCAUACUGUCACCUUAUUAAAUAUAUUAUUUCAUUUUCACUUUUUUUUUUGUACCAGGGAUUGAGCUCAGGGAUGCUUAACCACUGAUCCACAUCCCCAGCCCUUUGUUAUAUUUUACUUAGAGACAGGGUCUUGCUGAGUUGCUCAGGGCCUAAGUUGCUGAGACUGGCUUUGAAUUCACAGUCCUUCUCCCUCAGCCUCCCAAGCUCAUUUCCACUAUUCUUAACAACAAACAAGGCUUCAUAAAUUUUAAACUGUGUGUGCAAAAUAAAUGGACUUUUAUUAGUGACCUUUCUAACUACUUCCACUUCCCUUCAGUUUAUGCAGUUUACAAUUCAUGAUGUUUAAAACAACGCCUGAGCUAGGGAUGCAGCUGAGUAGUAGAGCACCCGCUUAGAAUGCGUGAGGCCCUGAGUUUGAUCUUCAGCAUCAUACACAUACAAAAACCUUUCAACUCAUUACAGAACCAAAUGUAUAUCACAUAAACCGAAAACAGAAAAGCUGUAAAAUGUCAUUGAUAAUGCUGCAGGAUUCACUAUCAAGAUUUCACCUAAAUUCUUUUUUUGGACUGGGGAUUGAACCCAGGGGUGCUUAACCACAGAACCACAUCCCCAGUCCUUUUAUAUUUUUAUUUUAAGACAGCAUCUUACUAAGUUGCUGAGGCUGGCUUUGAACUAUGAUCCUCCUACUUCAGCCUCCCAAGCUGCUGGGAUUAUAGGUGUGCACCACUGCACCCAGCUGCCCCAAAUUCUAAUCUCCUGAAAGCUAUCACCCAUCAUUUUUUUAAAAACCCACUCAAUCUAAAACAAGGGAAGAGAUAUUUUCUAUUCAGCAAUAUGGUAAUGCAGUUUCCAGGAACUUAGAAAAAAUAUAUAGACAAUACAUUUGUUAUCACUGACAGCAGCUCAAAUGCCUAAGCAUUUGCUUUCCACAGUUUUUAAAGAGCAUGCUGGGGGGGAAAAUGCUAAACCCAAAGAUGAUCCCAAAUCCUAGCCCCUGAGACAGCAUUGUUUCAGCCCAAGUGUUGAUUUCAGUCCCACAGGGCCUGUGUGGCUGUUCAGAGGCUUCUGCUGAACACCAUCAAAUCAUCAAUCUCAAUGUCCUCUCACCAUGGAAGAUACGAAGAUUCGGGCUUCUAAGGGACGAAAUGCAGAAAGCCAUCUCUUCUCUCCUUUAAUUUAAUUUAAUUUUGUUCUUCAAACUGAAUUUAAUCCUGAAGUGAUUUAAAUGUUUUCAGUAGAAAACCAAACCAAACCUGAGUGAGGGUGGACAGAGACGGCUCCUACGAGACUCCUGUGAGAGAAGCUUUUAAAUGCUCAAAUCUCCUUCAGUUCCCCAAGUACCCUAACUAACUAUACAUCAAAUUACAUCACUCAAUACAGCUAGAGCCAGUUUUCCAAAAGCAAGUUGAUUGCAAAUCAGUAUCUGCAGGUGUUAAGGAAAAGGUCUAACAUCCCCCUUUAAGCUAUCCUCAAAAGCUAUCUAAAAGGUGGAAUUCGUGAAUGUGACACCACCUACAUUUUAAGUCAUACGAGCUAAAUGUACUCUCCAAAAGCAAUAAAAUUCUACCCAGCUUUUCCUCCAUCAAGAACUAGUAGGCAAACAGACAAACUUCCUUACAGAUGGGAAAGAAACCAACAACUAGGUCAUACCUGUAAGAAUUUCCCAGCUCAAGUUUUAGGAAAAGAAAAUGGUAGGGAUGAUAGGAACUAUGAGCAAAAUCAUAAUUGAGAUGAAGGAAAAAAGACUCUACUGAAUGGGGGGAGGAGGAAGGAGAUGAUCUCAGACGAGUCAUAUACACUAAGGCAGGUGGGAGCUGGGCUGGACUGGACAGCACACAUCUUUCUAAUGAGAGCAGCAGCUACUGAGUUCCUGUUCCUGUGGUCACAUGUCUACUCUGGCCAAGCAUUGCCAGGUAGGUCUCUAUCAUCUCCAGCAUGGUUAAUCAGUUUGGCAGCUCAAAUUCUCAAGAGAGACAAUAUCAUUGGUCAGCUCAGCCUAGAUCCUGGUUUCCUGGGAGCAGGUAUCUGCUUCUAGUUCAGUCAACUGUGACAAGGGGGUCUGAGGAGAGACAGAACACAUGAUCUGUUAUCUACACCAGAAGAACUUGGAGAAAGAAGAGCUAAUUUAUUAGAAGUGGGAUAUGGGAGGGAUUGAUACAGCAAAGCCUGCCUCACAAACCUAAAAGGCAAAUUGCAGACUUCUGACAGCCAUGCAAUUAUUUCUGCCUUGCAUGAGACUCUUCCCACAAUUCCCCUGUAUGCAGAUAGAUGCUGUACUGAACUCUCCAAUCUUGCAUUCCUUGUUUCAGCCAAGAAGAGGAUGCAAAGUAAAUAAUAAUGCUUCACCUCCUGUUUCUCUAAACUGUUAUUAAGUCUGAACGUGUUUGGCCAAAUAGAAAGCUGCCUGAGAAGUUCAAUUGAAGAUGGAUCCAAAAUAUGUCAUGUUACCAAAACACUAUUGCUACAUUCAGCAUAUGAAGUCUGCAGUAGAGGUAAACUAUUUCAUGGCUGCAUCUAUCCAAGAUUAUCUUUCUAAACAGAGAAAAAGAACAAUGUCCCCAGAAAAUGAUGAAGCUAUGGAUAUCUAACCUGCUGCAGUAUUAUUCAUAGACUCUUAGCUUGGGAAAUUGAGGGCAAGGCUCAAGGGUCAGCAAAUUUUGACCCAGAGAAAAAUGGAGAAGGCUUUGCUGGUAUGCCUCCAAGAGACAGAAGAAUCAGUACCUCACUUUACAGAUGAAGAAUCUGAAACUCAGAAGGGUUUAGAGUCUAGUAUUUCCUAAUAGAAUUUAGGUCUUCUUCCAGUCGAGGGCUCUACAAAUAUCUGUAGCAGCUUCUUGGUUUGAGGUUAAAGAACCAGAAAGCAUAUGACAUUUAACUGUAAAAGCUACUUCUUUCUAAAGACAUCUGUCACUUAUCAAAAGUAGCCCAUGCCUUGAAAUGCAAUGACUGAAGAACAAUGUUUCUUGACUCAAUAGGAGCCUGUUUAUAAUUACAAAAUUACAUAGACACACUUUAAUUUAAAAAUCAAGAAAAUGACUUUACUGUGCUAUGAAACCUAUAUAAAAAUCCUGUCAGAGAAAGUAGUUUCUAGUUAAACUCUUGUUUUCAGAUACCUUUACUCUAAAAUUUCUUAGACUUAUUCUUUGACCACUGAUGACUUUUUGGCAAUCUCCAAAAAAAAAAAAAAAAAAGGAAAAUCCCAAACUACAUCCCUCAAACCUGAACACAUAAUACCAGUCCAGCCUGCAGUUGAGGGCAGAGUGACCAAGUCCCAUGACUCAAGUUUCUGUCCAUCUUUCAAGAACUUGGGGAGGGGACAUUGCCAGUGGUCCUAAAGGCUAUCCAGCCUAUCCCUCUCCCAUUAUCCCUGAAGAAACUGAGUCUUAAAGCAGACAAGUGACAGUCCAGGUCCAUAACCCAGUGGUAGGAGAGUUAGGGCAUGGUUCAGAAAGCCCAAAUGUUCAGUCAAUUGAAAGAGAGAUAAUUUUGAAAUUUCAAAUUCUGCCACAUAUUAUUUCCCAGACUGUGUUCCUGAAAACAUCAGUCCUCUAAGUAACUGAUUUAAAAAAUAGGAAAGUAUAAGAAUAAAGGAAAGGAGGGAGGGAGGAAGGGAAGGAAAACAGAAAAAAGAAAGUCGAUCCAGGGCCAAAGUACAGGAAAGGCAACAGACCACAUGCCCUUCUUGAAGAUUUAUAUCACACACUAGAGAAUCAGAGAAAGAAGCCCAGCAAUAAAGAAGUCUGUUUAACUCAAAACUCUUUUUCCAAGUCACAUCCAUUAAUGUCCUACAGACCUGGUGUUCUAGGAAACAUACAUUGGGACAUGCUGACUUAGUGAGAAGAGAAAUGAAUUUCAAAAUAAUUGGGCUGGAAAGUAAAGAAAUGGAAACAGCCUGGCUCAUGUCAAGCAAGAGUUCAGAAAUGGCACCAUGUCAUCUUCAUUUUCUUCCCCUGGCUCUUUUAUCCUGGGACUUGGGAAGAAUUGGAGAGUAAGGGUGUCCUUGAAUAGCAAGGACGAGGAGAAUAAAUUUUCUUCUUGAGUUUACCAUUAAAGGUUUGUGUAAAAGAGUAAAACACAGAUCUGCCUUUUCCACUUUUCUCCAUGGGUAUUUAAAUCCCUACCAGAAAUAAAAAGCUUAGAAUAGUAUUCCUACAUAUUUAUAACUGCUUUACAAUGAGCUACCAGGAUUUUUCCCUCUUAACGCUGAUAAAGUUACAUCCUACCUCAGAAACUGUGAGGGAAUCAAAUUUGGCCUUAUAAAUAAACUAAUUUAUAAUAUUUAAAAAAUAUUAAAGACUUUUUAAAAAAGGAAUAGGGGACACAAAUAUCCCAAACUGUGAAAAUGCCACAUUUUCAUACCCAAAUGAUUCAAAAUAGAUGAACAGAAUGCUUCCAAACUUUCUAAAAAUAUGCAUCUUCAGGCAAUAAAAAAAAAUCAAUCUAAAGGGUCAUUUAUUUCAAGCACCUAAAAGCCUGAUUUAGCACACCAAUGAGCCCACACUGCUGACUGGAUCUGGGAGACCAGGGCUGAAGAAAGGUCAUUCACACUCCUCCCUAACUCCUUAAUGAUAUGUUUAGCCAGGCUAAUUUUAGACCUGUCGGAAGCUUUUGAUUCAGUUAGCCAUAAGGUGUUGGUGACAAGUCUGUGGUCAAUGGCAGGCGUGGGUUGAGCUCCUUUUGAAGUCAAUUGGUGAGUUAAUUCCUGGAAGGAGAGUGUCAAUAGGUAGUCACAGGAACUGCUCAUGAUCCACAUAUCCUGGGAGGUCUUUUCUCCCUACCCUAUUUACCUAAUGUGGGCAGGAGGCUCUGGGAACCAUCAGGGGAAGAAACAUCUUUUUGAUGAUACCCAUCCCAUUACCACCUUUUCAAUUGACCAUUCGAAAUUAUCUUAUGCUUUCACUUAGUUCAUAACUAUUUUUAUUCAGGAAGAAAGUAGCUGGCUUCAGGUCCACCUGAAUAGGCGGAGUUGUGAUCUUAGGUUAGAGGAAAUGCUUUAAGGAUAUCAGAGGUAUCUUCAUCAUAGCUAUUUGGGGAUGGAGGCUCUCUGACAGGACUUUUAACAGAUGCUUGAACAUAGACAAGAAAAGCCUUCUUUUUUCUUAUAUCCAGAAAGUCAUGUGCCUACAACAACUUCCAGAAAAGGCUGUUCCUCUAGUUCACAUUUCACCUAGAAAUAGAUGCCCUUUUCUCUGCUUUGCCAGAUUUGGUUGGGCGGGGAUGUCAUUACCUGAAUUUCUUUAGCCUUGUAAGUUUUUGUACCAAUCAGCUCAGAGUGUACCAUGAGUGGUUCUAUUUUGUAUCAUGUGCAAUUCUGUACAAUAUAUGCUCUGUAGAGGUAUCUGUAGAAAAGAAAACAUCAAUGUUCCACUCAAAAACUCACCAGCCAAAGCAGCGGGGAAUGCCUUUAUCACUAUCACCUCCUAGAUUUCAACAAAUUCUGAUGUUGUAAUGGAACCUGGGACUAAUCCAUUACCACCCUCCUGUUUUUAUAGAAUAACACUUAAAUUUCUUUAAUGCACAUGAUAAUUUAGCAGAACCAGGAAAUGUCCACGGAGCACAGAAUCUAAAACUAUUUUUCUAAUUUUAUUAAUCACUCAUGUUCCUCAUCCUGGGUCAAAAAGUGUGGAGAACAGCAGAAAGAAAAGGUAGUGGGGAGAGGCAAGUAAAGGUGAAACAAUUAAGUGAGAAAACAGAAGUCAAUUAAGGAAUAAUCUCUAAUUAGAAUCAUACUUUUCUCCCCAACUGUUUUCUAUGUUCUUAACCUUUCACCAUAAAUCAGAUACCAGCCAGUCUCAGUGAAUAUCCUUGGUUAUCACACCUAAGAGACAAAAAGGCAGAAAAAAGGACUUCUACACGAGCUCUAUUAUCCAGCUUUGAAAUUCUAGAUGUUUCAGUGUUUCAUAUUGUAACUGAAUUUUGAAGUGCUCACCUCAUUGACAGUCCUGUGCUGAAUAUUUUCAUGUGCUAAGAACUCUGCUGCACACUCUAAGGAACAUGACUAUGAAGGAGACUUAGCCUUGCCUCUAGAAAUUUAGUUUAACAAGAGAGAAGAAAAACAUUCCUCCUGGUUACAAAUUCUAAAGCUGUCACAUAGCAUAGCACCAACUGUAACACAGAAGGAAUCAGAUGCCUUAAGAGUGGUUCAACCUGAGUGUUAUAGGGGAGCAAAGAAGGUGUUUGUAACUUCUAUUUAGAAAGACACUUUUAUCAAAGAGGUGGCUUCUUAGCCUUGGCAAUUUAGUGAGACCCUAAACAACGUAUUGAGACAUUGUCUUUAAAUAAUAUACAAAAAAGUUCUGGGGAUGUGACUCAGUGGUUAAGUGCCACUGAGUUUGAUCCCCAAUACCAAAAAAAAAAAAAAAAAACAGUGGCUUAUUGAGCUAGGCCUUGAAGAAUAGGAAGGGCUUAAACACAAUGAGAGGAUACUGAUUGGCGAAAUCUCUGGGAAAAGGAAAAGACACAAAGAUACAAAAAUAAUUUUUUUUAUUUACCUAUCUUAUUUUUUUAUUUACCUAUCCUCCAUGUUAACAAAACUGGUCCACUUGCUAUUUGCCAAAUAGAGCAAGUGGACCAGUUUUGUUAACAUAGAGGAUAGGUAAACAAAGGGACAUGGCUAGAAAAGUGUCUUGAAAGCCACAUUGUAGAGUAUCAAGAAGAGGAAGUUAAAAAGUUUGGUCUAAAUUCUACAGGAGAUGGGCAGCCACUGAAAACUUUUCACAGGGCCCAUCUUUGAGCAGAUUUAAUUAGACCCCAGUGAAUUAAAAACUAGAGAUGAGGGAUACAGAGAAAGGCAUCAGCUUCUUAGGAUGAUCCAAGCCAGAGAUAAAGAGCACCAGCAGUGAGAAUCUAAAAGAGGCAGAUUCACCAGACAUUACAGAUACAGAAAGAGCAGGAAUAAUUUGGUGUGAAGGCUAAGGAGCAUUUCCUACAGUCCUUGUAAUGAAAAUAAAAUCCCACCAUGCCAAAUGGUAACUUGAAAGUGUCAGAUUGUGAACCUAUCACUGAGAUGUUCUCACUGUUGCUCAAUACUGUUGACUAAUUGGAUGGUUUUGCUUUUAUAGGUUGAUAAUGCUUCAUCUGUUGUAAGAUUUUUUUAAGUUGCAUCAUCUCUACCAUAUGUUUUCAAAGUGUACAAGACUAGAAUAAGCAGACAGACACCAGAUAUCACAGAUAUUUCAGACUAAAGAAAGACAGGGGAGGUCUUGUAAUCUCUUUCAUGUAUAAAUACAGCAAUAGCUAUAUAGUGGUAGACCCAUGUCUGUUGAAUAUAAAGGAGAUAAUCUAUUAAUACUAUCCAAAUCAACUAUCUUAUUAUACCAUGUCCUUCCUCUGUGUCAAAUAUAUACCCUGUCUCUAUUCACUUUUACAUCACUGACGUCAAUAAUGUCAUUUUAAAAAUAAAGAAAGAAUUAAUAAAGAAUUCAGUCUGCACAUAACAUUUCUCUACCACUUCAUCACUAAACAGCCUCAAUCACCUAGUCAUAUGCUAAGGAACUGGGAGCAGGAGUUGGGGAAGUAGGAUGCAUAUUUUUAGAAAGUUUGGAAGCAUUCUGUUCAUCUACCUACUCUGUGGUAGAGGGCAGGGUGUGCUUAGCAUGUGCAAGGCCCUGAGUUAAAUCCCCAGCAGGGGGAAAAGUGUGAGGACAAAAAAUAAUAGCCUUUUCAUCUAGAGUAGCUUCUAAUGCAGACACAUUGUUGACUGUGUUCCUCGGGUAGCCUUCCCUGAUAAACUAGAAGCAAACUAAACCCUGGCCAGAGAGUUCUUUAUUUGAUUUAGAAUUUCUUUUAGUGUAAAACUUGUUCUCUGCUUCCCUCUUCCGUUCUUCUCUCCCUUGAUACAUUGCAAACAUUUAGUGAGCACUUAGUAUAUGCUCAGCACUGGGCCCAGUGAUGCAGAUACAAAGACAAAGUCAACCAUCCUCUGUUUUGUGCAAAUAUUUAUAAAAAAUAUGUGCCAUGUGGAAUGCCUCCCUUAUAAACAGGGGCCAUCUUUACUUAUAGCUGUUGACAUCUGAACACUAGCACUUCAUGGUGGUUACAUAUGUGAAAUUCAGAGUUCUAGGACAAGGAUAUUAGUGCCAGCUGGACCACGUCCUAGCUAUGCAAACCUGGCAAGUUAUCUAAACCCUCUGAGCCUGUUUCCCUCUUCUGUAAAAUAAAGAUGACCAUACUAGUACCAACAUCAGAGGGUUCUGGUAAGAAUUAAUGAGACAAUUCAUGCAAAAACAUUAGGACAGCACCUGCUAUACACUAAAAAGCACUAGAUAAAAUAUUAUCAUUAUUUGCAUUCAUAUCUGACCUGUGAUGAAUCUGAAAAUGACCUCUGGUGGCUGUGAUGGUGACUGUCCUUUUAGCAAGUGAGAAUGAAAGACUCAGAAGCAUUUCACAGAUCGGUCUAGAAGUAAUGUCCAUGUCAGUUUGCAUGUCACAGGAGAAAUGCUUCUUCAGCCUGUACCAUGUUUUCUGUUUUGUUUCUCUCAUUUUCUUAUACCAGAAAAUUUUCAUCUGCUCCUGAUGUUUAGUCUCUAUUUAAAGACACAGCAUUCAGUUUGCAAAGCCAGUGGUUCUCUGCCAAUGCUGUCACCACCCAGAGUUGAGGCUCUGAAGACCUGCUCUGCAGCAAGCAGUGAAUUAAAACCACUUGUGUCCCAUCCAGACAGUUGCUGUAUUCUGGGCAGGUUACAGGAUCAAGCCCCAAAUGAGGAAUAUAACAGAAAUCAUAGAAGCAGGCAAAGGAGAAAUUAUGUUCCUCAUGCAAACACUCAGAGCAAUUAAAAAUGAAAAAGAGUGAACUAAAACAGAAUAUUGCAGUGGGGAGGAGGUAAAAUUCUUUUGAAAACAAAGACUGUGCAUCUUAGUCUCUGAGGCUGUAGAUCAUGGCUUAGAUGAACUUAUGGAUGUUUUCAACAUUUUUAAUAAACACAACCAACAGCUGGACUCUAGUUGCCCAUUGCCAGGCAGGCUACACUCCAGGGGGCUGGAAUGCAUAAUCAAUCAAGGCAGGUGGCAGGAAAUUGGUUAUCAGGGAACUUGUACAUACUUCCGCAAGCCAGUUGCACCUAAUAAAGUUUUCAAGGUGACUCUGACUUUCUUUAGUGUUCCUCACCCCCAGCUUCCUCCUGGGCAUUUUGAGCCUUGUUACCCCAACAUUCCAGGAAAGGCACACUCUCCCUCAAACACCACACCCUCUUCUCAAACAUUAUCUGCAGAUGCAUAUUUAGCAUUGUAAAUUACAUCACCACCUUGCUGCAGAUUGCAGACCUAGACAAUAAUCGCCCAUGUGGGCCAAGGCGAUCAGGCAACCUGGAGCAGCAUGCUGUCCAAAUUGAAAGGGGGCAAAGCCUCUUGCCAAGCAGAUGCUUUUGAACCCAGCAGAUCUAGGAAUUCUCUUUUGUUUUAUUUAUUGCCUUUAAAAAAUGCAGAUAGGAAUAUGAGAUCUAGAAGUUUUCCGUGCUACACAAUUUAUGCUAGCUCAUUACCUCCUCCUAGACUCCAAGGCUUUGUAACGGAAAUUGGCUCGGAUUUCUGAGAUGGGCAUUACAUCAUAGUCUUCUUUUAGCACAUUAUGUCAUCCCUGCUGAGACGCAUUAUCUAGGGUUGGCUCAGCAGUAGCAAUUUUUGUGGGCCGACUGCAGUGUUCCCAAAGAACUGCUGGGAACCACAGAUUGAAAUCUGAAACAUUUAUCUUCUAAAAAGCUGAAAAGGGGGAAAGAUGUUCACAUCGGACCCCAUUUAUUUUCUUUAACCCUCUCUUGUCUUGAUUCCUUUUAGAUCACAUUGCUGUAAAUGUCAACAAUGGACAAUGUGCUAAGUCUGUGCAGGGCCAAUCACUGUGAGAUAAUCACUAUUAAGGGUGCCUGAAAUACUGUUCCCCAUGAAGGGCUAAUACACCUGACAUGGCCAUACAUACAUCAAGGGAUGCUGCAAAAUCAUUCAAAGGAACUACCUAGCACUUACACAUGGCUAACACAAAACACUCUAAUUCUUAAGUUGUUUAAGAAAAUAAUAUGUGAAUGAGACUAUCUGCACACACAUACCUAUACUUGCUUAUCCUCCUGACCAUGUCGUGGCCACAAAGACAAAUUCUAGAAGAUUUGUAUUAGAAAUCAUUUUUAUGCCAGGAACUGAACUGAUAUUAUCUCUUCUCACUUCAACCAUGAAAUUAGAAGCCCAUUUUGCAUCACUCUAUUCUAGGCAGGAUUAGAAACCAUUGCACAGAGGGAAUAGAAAGAUGCUUUUAGGAUAAAGCAAAGAUAUUCCCAAACCCCAGAGAAUCCCAAUACCUCUCUCAUCACAAAAGCAUAAUUAUGGGGGGAAAGUUUCUAAAUACUGAAAGGAAAUGGAAUACAUUCAACCAUGACUAAAUUACAAUUCCCAGCUUAUACACCAACUAAUGAGAUUUGCUGGGUGGGGAAUAAAUGCUGGAAGAGGCACUAAAAGAGUGUAUGAUAUUCCUUUUCUCUACCCACCUGUGUAUUUUUUUUCAAAUUUUCUUCAUAGUGAAUACCUUUGUGCUCUCAAUUACUUUUUGUGACUCUCAAAUGGUAGAUACAUCAAAACAAACAGUCUUAUAAUUAAUCUGGAGGCAAAUAAAGCUAACAAUUGGCCUGGCCCAAGAGCCUUAUUCCUAUUUCUACCUUCAGUGAUUUUUCAUCAUAUUCUAUUCCAAUGCCCACCCCACCCCACCCCUCGCAAGGAUCAUAAAACAAGAUGGCAGGCUUUAUUCUUUCACUUCAUCCAAGGCAAGGCCUGUGAUUAGUCCAAGAAUUCUAAUGGUGGACAGGAUCUCUGGCCCCACACUCCUGAUAUGAAAGUUACCUGGGUCACAUUCAGCAACCCUGUCCUUAGCACUUCUUCUCUCAUGUUUCAUUAUCUGUUGCCAUUCAUCCUUAGCUCCUAUGAGGGGCCAGUGUAAAGACUGAUGGAAUGACCCACAGAGGGCUAUGAAGCUUUCAGAUGGAUGGUGCUAUAUAAAAGAGUGUUAAACAGCUAAAAGCAUUUGCAAAAAUCCCUUUAUCCUUCUCCCUCCUUUCCUUUGUCCCUUCAUCUUCACCCGCUCCCCCAGCUCUAAGAAUUUUAUGAUCUCAAGGCCAAAAUGCUUUAAAUCUUAAUAACUACAUGUGCCACUCGGGAUACUGAAAGGAAACUAUAUAUACUCUACUUGACUCAUUCCAAGCUUUUACUGCAGCCAAAGUAAUUGCUGUACAAUUUAAAAAUUCCACUGAAAAAGCAAGUAGCCUUCCACAUACUAAGCUGAUUUUCGUGUAAGUUGUAAAGUAUUAAAUGACCAUAACUUUUAUUCACUAAUGAAAUUACCUGACCUAAUCACUCCCUUUCCCUUUGUAGAAGGUAAGAAGGAGGAUCCAUAAGCCCUGAAGGAUGCAUGCCUGUCUCUAGAUUCCAGCUGGCUAUCAGUCUCCAAAGACACACUGAGGGAGGAGUCAAGUAUCACUUCUCCCACUUCUUCCUGUGACCUGUGCGUCCCAGUAGGCUAUGCCAAAUCCCGCAAUAAGAGUUUGUGACGUGCUUAGAAGCCUGUAAUUCAUUCUUCAAUCAGACCAACUGUGGAACAGAACUCUUAUGCUCUUGCCCCAUAAAAGGACAAUGACUAGUCAUGAGAGUCUAUUGGAGGAGCUCUUCCUGUUGCAGGGAAAGGAAAGCAAGCCCAGUAUCUGUAUAUAGUUCUUAAGAAUAAGUACAUAAUUAGGGAGCCAGAUUGCACAGUGAAAAAUCAACUGUUCCCUAAAUGGAUGCCCACCCCCCCGCCGUCAAAAAAAAGGGUGGAGGGUAGAAGUGACUGAAUCAGAAGGGGAAGAUCGUGCACCCAGCUCAUUGGCUCCUGAUAUUACAAUAAAACCAAAGCUUGAAGUGAAGUGGGAAUUCUAGGUUUGUCUUCAGCCUCCUCCUCCAGCUGCCUCAGCACCAGUCACUAUGCUUGAGAAGCUUGCAGAAGGAAAACAAAACAGUAUGGAUCUUUCAGGCUGUCCUGGGCAGAGGACAUGUGGAGAAUUGGCAUAGCUUCUCUUCCCUGCUUCCAGAGUCACUACCAGGAUCAGCUAAUGCAUAGAGAAAUAAACAUUUGUUUUCUCAUUGAAGGUCUUUAUCCUGCUGUCUAUCAUCAAUUCCAGAACACCUGCUGUCUCUACCACUAGAUCUCUGGGUGACCCCGGAGUCCCACUGCAAUCUCUUGGGUGCUUGUGGCAUUUCCUAGGCUGCAGAGUCUUCCCUACUUCUCAGAGAAAGCUCAUAACAACAUACUUUUAUGCCUGUCUUCUCAAGGGUACCAAAAAACGUCUGCAAGUAUAGCAUAGAGAUACAGAGCACAAAAACAUCCAGAUUAUAGUUCAGGCCAGAAAGACUAUAAAGAAGUCAGCUUUAUUCAGGUUUGGUGAAAAGACACACAGGUUCCCUUAGUAUGAAGAUUCAGACUAUUUCUGGUUAGGAUUCUUUUAAACUUCUGAGCACCCUGCCUUCACCAGGGAAGUCUUUUCCUUCUCAGUAGGUUCCACUUCUUCCAUCACCUGAAAGUGGCUUAUUUAGUCCUCUUAUGGUUUGGAUCUGGAAUGUCCCCCAAUGCUCAUAUGAUGAAGGUUUUGUCCUCAGAGGUAGGAAUCUGGGGAAGUAAUAGGAUCAUGAGGUCACUGAUCUGACCUCAUCAAUGAACUAAUCCAUUGAUCACUCAAUGAACUACUGGGAGGUGGUAGAAACUGUAGGUGGUGGGGCACCUACAGUUGGAGGAAAGGGAUCACUGGGAGUAUGCCCUGGAAGGUCUCCUUCUGCUGGUCUCCCUUUCCUUCCCUCUCCCUCUCUUUCCCUCCCCACCUCUCCCUCCCUCCUUCCCUCACUCACACACUGGUUGCCAUGAAAUGAGUAGCAUUCUUCUGCCACACCCUUCCACCAUGAUGUUCUACCUCACCUUAGGGUCACAGAAACAGAGUCAGCCAACCAUGACUAAAGCCAUAUGCCAAAAAUAAACUUUUCCUUCUCUAAGUUGUGUCAGAUAUUUUGUCAAAGUGACAAAAAAAAGAAAACCUUGAUGACCACACCCUUUAACAAAAGUACUCUAUCUCCAUUAAUUCUGAAUAAUGAAACUAGAAAGGGUUCAUUUAUUCAUUAAUAUUUAUCAAGCAGUAGUGACUAUGUGCCAAUUUUUGAAAUAAGGAGAUGUAGAUGGAUCAGACAGGGAUUCAGUCUUUUAAGAGGAACCUCAGAAAAGCUAUAUUAAUAAAUAUGUAGCAGAGACAUCCUGCUUUCACUAAAAAAAAAAACACUUCCUCCUCUUAUUCCUGAGUGCAUACAUUUCCCAUAUUCCUCUACAGUUAGAUGUGAUCAUAUGCCUGAGUCUAGCCAACAAAAAAGUAGAUACAAAGGAUGUUCACCACAUCCAGGACCAGCCUGUGAGACCCUGCAUGCUCCUUCUCCCUUGACUAACAGGGGUGGCCAUGACCAUCAGCAUUUAGAAGGCACCAGAAGAUGGCAGAACCUCAGAUGCCUGCCAGUUGAAGGAAAGCUGUCAUUCUAGCCCAUUCAUGUUCAGAACUGGUACAAGGGCAAGAAAAAAUUUCUGUGUAGCUCCAUCACAAAUUGGGUCUACUUACAAGAACAAUCAAAUUAUUCUGAAUAAUAUAAAUAUAAGAUAGGGUACCACAAAUUGAUGAAAUGAUUAUUUCUUAAAGUGGAAAGAUUUAGUCACAGUGUAUAGUAGAAUAAAAUAGAUUGAAAUAGCUGUAAUAAUACUAUCCCAUUUUUUAAAUAAUACGUACGUAUAUGUACAUACACAGAAAAAGUUCUAGAAGAAUACAUAGCAAUGUAUGGGUACUUCAUUCUGGGUGGUAAUAAAAUAGAUAUAACUUAUCUACAGUUUCUGAUACAUCAGUGAUGAAUGUCUUAUAAUGACAUAUAAAAGCUUUGUUUAACAUUUAAAAGGAAAGAAUGUCUUGCCAUGUGUAUAGAAAGGAACAGCAUCUCAAAGUGGGUAAAGACUUCCUGAGGAAAAUUUGGUAAGGCAUCUCAGACUAAUCAUCUAUUAAUGAUCCUUCCAAUACUGCAAAUCUAUAAAUUAACUACAGCCUGAGAAUUAGAUAAAUUCUAUCACACACUUGGCUCCCAGCUCCCAAUUCACAAAUUGAGGCUUCAUCAAUGGAAAUCAAUUUGCCAGAAAGGAUAGCAGAGAUACAUUUAAAAAAAAAAUAAGGGAUUCUCUUUGAUUUGGUUAAGAAACAGAUCAAAUAAAUUAUUUCAAAAUUUCCAGGAAGAAUUCCACUUAAGCCAUAGAUCCAAUUGGUUAUUGCAGCAAGGCUUCCCCUUCACAUUUAGGAAGAUCAUAAAUAUGUUCUUCUAAAUCUGUUCUUCCCAUGUACUGGAGGAUAUGGGGUCCUAAAAGAAGAGUCAUUUCUGCUCUUCUCCAUACAAUCUCCAAAAGUCCUUGGAGAAAGAUUUCAUUGUACAGCAAAAGUCAGAAAUCUUGCAAACACUGUGUACCAAAGUCCCAAGUCCCUAUUCCUCCAUCUGGAGGAAUGCAGAUGACUUAACCAGGGGGAAGAGCAGGCCCCUGACCAUCCUGAUGGAGGAAGAGUAUUAUAGACUGAAAUCCCUGCAAACAUAGACAGAUGGCAAUUUCACUGGGAGGGCUCUUGGGAAUGCCUUCAGGGAGGGAGUACUGGAAGCAGAAGCAGGUCAAAGAAGAGUUGAGCUAUGAUGCCGUAAGUCACAAUGAAGGAAUUAGGGGAUCCCACUGGGCGUUCUGCAACUAGGACAGCCCUUCAGAGUUGUCCCAAUUGAGUUAAAGGCUCCAAAACUUUAUACACCCUUGGGGCCUGGAACAAGCAACUUUCCUUGACCAAUUUUCUGGAAGAGACUCAGUGAUGGGCCAUCAGCAGGAAAUACUGCAGGCAAUGGGGAGGACAAGCACCUAGGUUCAAGGGACACACAACAGUGUCUACUACAGAGCAGCAGGAAGACUCUAACUCCUCCUCAUCAGUCUAUCCAGUUGUCAAAGAGAUCACACCAAGAUCUGCUCUUGUCAUUCCUCUUUGAAAUUUCUUAGUCGUUUCCUAUCACCCCCAGGAUUAAAUAAAUCCUUCUACACAAGCCCAUGGGGCUUUUCUUAAGCCUAGGAGUCACCCCACAUGGCAGCCUCCCCCUCUGGAACCAGGCUGCAGCCACGUGGGCAUAUUCCCCAACACUAGAAAUUGCCACGUUCUUAUUGAUUGAUUGUAUGUUCUCCUCUGAGAAGUGUCUGUUCAGGUCCUUGGCCCAUUUGUUGAUUGGGUUAUUUGUUAUCUUAUUGUCUAAUUUUUUGAGUUCUUUGUAUACUCUGGAUAUUAGGGCUCUAUCUGAAGUGUGAGGAGUAAAGAUUUGUUCCCAGGAUGUAGGCUCCCUAUUUACCUCUCUUAUUGUUUCUUUUGCUGAGAAAAAACUUUUUAGUCUGAGUAAGUCC
rnacentral:lncRNA from 1 species